rnacentral:lncRNA from 1 species
GUGACUCAGAUCUAGCUGGGAGAGGUGACUCAGCUUACCCAUCUGAGCAGGAAUUCUGUGGCUAAGCCUGUUAUUGCUCAGGUUCAAGUAAUACAAGUUCGAGCAGUCACCCAAGUUCGCUGGUAUUGACCCAUUUAAUCGGUUUGCUGAUAAGUCGAGAUGAUCAAGGCUGAACAGUAAUCCAAAUCAAAUUCAAGAGGUAUACUUCCAGAAAGUUGGUUAUCAUUCAAUUUUAGCUCCAACAGAGAAGUUAAACUUCCCUUUUUUUUUUUCAGAAAUUGUCCAACCAAAUGUUUUGAAGAAAGAUCAAGGAAGGUUAGAUCAGUUGAGAUUCCAAAAUCUUCUGGUAUGCUCCCUGUAAUAUUGUUCCCGGCCAUCUGCAGCCUUUGUAGUUGUGGGCACCUUCCCCAGUUAUGAGAGAGUUCUCCAUGAAAACUUUUGUAGCUCAAGUCGAUGUAUUCCAGGUUUGGACAGUCGCCAACUACCUCGGAUAUAUUUCCAGUGAGUUGGUUUCCCCGAACAGAGUUCUGGUUAAGUUUCUGCAAAUUUUCAAGCUUUUGAGGGUGGGACCACUGAGACAGUUGUUGCUCACUGUAAAGCGCACCAGAGAUCCACAUUGGCAAAUGCCUUCCGGAAAAGAGCCAGACAGCUGGUUUGUGUUGAUUUCUAGCACAACCAACUUAUGAAGUUUCCCAAUUUCUCGAGGAAUGUAACCAGAAAGUUUGUUAUCACGGAGGAAUAAAAUUUCUAAGUUGGUCAGAUUACCUAGUGAAGUAGGAAGGGAACCAUUGAGUUGGUUUUCUGAAAGUUCUGGAUCAACAAGAGACUUCAAGUUUCCUAUUUCUCAAGGAAUGGGGCCGGAAAGUUGAUUGGCAUAGAGAUGCAGGCGGGUUAAGCCACUGAGAUCACCUAAUGACGUAGGGAUUGGACCUAAAAGAUAGUUUUCGUAGAGGCUUAGACUGUUCAGGGAUCUCAAAUUUCCUAAUUCUGGUGGGAUUUGCCCGGAGAGUUGAUUGUUGAACAGGUAUAACAUAAGGUUUCAAGUUUCCAAAAGUGGAAGGGAUGGGAGCUGUUAGAUUGUGGAAGGGUUUUCCUUGAUUUCUGAAAGAAGAGAGAGAACUCCAGAAGUCGAAGAAGGUGAUGUACAGAAUGAUCUCUUUGCAAUAUCAACUUUUGAUGGAGGAACAGUGUAUGAAGAGAUUAUAAAGGCCGCCGACGAUUUUUAUCUCAUGUAUGGCAUCAGAAAGGAAGGGCAUGGAAGCGUUUACAAAGCAGAGCUGUCGUCAGGUUAUAUAGUAGUUGUGAAGAAGCUUCACCCAUUUAACACAGAGAUGGCAGAUCAAAAGGGCACUGACAAAAAUCAAGCAUCGAAACAUAGUGAAACUUCUUGGUUUCUGUUCACAUCACGACAAAUUUUUGGUCUACGAUUACCUUGAAAGAGGUAGCCUGGCUACAAUCUUGAGCAGAGAAGAAGCUGAGACAUUGGUUUGGGCUACAAGGGUCAAUAUCAUAAAGGAGUGGCUCAUGCUUUGUCUUACAUGCACCAUGAUUGCUCACCCCCAAUUGUUCAUCGGCAUAUAUCGAGCAACAAUUUUCUGCUGGAUUCUCAAUACGAGCCUCAUAUUUCUGACUCGGCACUGCCAAGCUUCUAAAGCUAGACUCAUCAAAUCAGAGCACACUUGCAGGCACAUUCGGAUACGUUGCACCAGGUAUUUGUUCACUACUCAAUCAACAAAGAAAUCUAACUUGUCCACCACGUAAUAUUCAUCUUCUAAUUUUGCAGAACAUGCUUAUACAAUGAAGGUGACGGAAAAGACUGAUGUCUAUAGCUUUGGAGUGAUUAGCACUGGAAGUUAUCAAAGGAAGACAUCCUGGAAAUCAGAUCUUGUCUCUAUCAGUUUCCCCACAUCUCACAACCCAGGAUGAAGGGGAAGUGAUAUCUAUUAUAAAACCCGGAACUGCAUGCUUAAAUGCCAACCCACGAUCCAGGCCAACCAUGCAGAUUAUUUCUCAGAUGUGAUCACAGAGAAUCUAGCAUGCUAAGAAAUAAUUUGUGUGGAACUCUACUUAGUUCACCAAUAAUGCAUUAUUUCGAACCUCCUACAUCUUCAGCACAGUGUAAUUUCUUUUGAGUUUCUUGAGUCUUUCUUUCUAUAUCAAGUACCCGGUGUGAUUUGUACUGGUAGAAAUUGUGGCUUUGUGCCCAAAGAAAUAAAGUGUGGUUUUGUGUGAAUAGAAGUAGAUAAAUCUCUGCUACUCAUGCAGAAAAUUCAUCCAUUCAUCUACCAAGACUGCUACUCAUGUAUUUUCUAAUUAACAAAUUAAAUAUUUACAUGUCAAAACAUAUGAGCAGCACUGGAAUAAAUAAAUAAAUAAAGAAGAAAAGGGAAGAUGAAUAUACCAUAUAAAUGCAGUCCCAACUAAGCAAGCCCCAAUUUCCUUGCAGUCCCUCAACACAUAAACCAAAAGUGGAGGAAAAAAAAAAUCUCUCAAACAAAGAAAACAAGUAUAUCUACCACUAUUUUUAUUUUUAUUUUAUUUUUUUUUUAAAUUUCUUUUUUUUUUCUUCCCUCUUUGACCACUAUAUCCUUUGCCAUAUAUCAUAUUUCUUAUUGUUAUUUUUCUCUUUCUUUUGAUAUUUCUUUUAAUAUCCUUAUGUAUUUUUUUUCCUCUUUAAUCUCUCUAUAUUUAUUGAUUUUAAUUAUUUUUUUUGGACAUAUUAAACUUAAAAUGAUAAUAUAUAAUAAAUAGUUAAUAAUAACAAAUUAAAUAAAAACAUAAAUAUAUAAUAGACAAAUAUGAAAAUAUUAUUCUAUAAAUAAUAUACUUAAUGAUUUUAAACAUUAAUUAUAAUAAUAUAUUUGAUAGUUUAAUGUUUAAAUUUAAAAAUUAUAUUUUAUUUUUUAGAGGUUUAUAAUAUAAUAUUUUUUAUAUUAAUGUUAAAUAAAAGAUUUAUUUAUUUUGUAAAUCUUAUCACAUGUAAAAGUAAAAAUAUCUUUGUAAUACUAUUUUAUUAUUUAUAUUAUUUUUAUUUUAAUUUUAAUUUUUUCAUAUCAAAAUCAUAGUAAGUGAUUGUGCUUUUAUCUUUAUUUUUAUUUUUUAUUUAUAGUUUUAACUUGAUUGUGAAUUAACUUUUUGUUUGGUUAAAAAUUUUCAUUUUUUAAUUAACAUAAAAAUAUAUAAUUUUUUUUUUCAUACAAAAAUUGUAUUUAACAUUUUAUAUUAAUUUUCUCUUAAUUAAUUUUUCUUAUAUUUAUUAAAAUAUAUACAUUCUUUAAUAGGGUCAAAUGGAGCCUUGGUUGACCAUAAAAAAAAUGUAUGUAUUUUUAGACAAGAAUGUACAUACUUUUCUUUUAAGAAUAUAUGUAUUUUUCUUCAAAAUGUACAUUUGCAUUUUGGAAUGGGCAAAGACCUCAAAUUAAUUUCCAAGUUUCUUGAAAUGAAUAUUUAAACCCAAGUAGGGCCUAAUGGGGUCUCGGUUGGCUUUUAAAAAACAUACGGAUAAAGUCUUGUAGGUUGAACCAUAAUAUUUAGACCCUAAUCAUAUAGACACAUAAUAUUAUUUUUUAAAUAAAUAUUAAUGCAUUAAUUACAUUUCAUAUCAUGAACACAAUCAGAGUUACCAAAUGACUACAAAAGUCUUGUAGCAUAUGAUUCGGAUUUUUUCUUAAUUCUAUAUAAAAUGAUACUUAUGCUUUAGACCUAUUAAAAUUAUGCAAUUCUUCUAAUUUCCCCACCUAUCAUAAGUAUGGCCUUACCAAAACUGACUCUUGAUUUAUCCUCAAGGGCUGUGGUUGCAUGCAUAUGUGCAUAACCUUUUGCUUUCCUAACCAAAUUAGUUCUGUUUAAUUUGCUUCUUUUUUGUUGUUUCAGGGGGCUCCAAGGCUAAUUUAGCUGACCUUGCUGUCUUUGGGGCGUUGAGACCCCUCCGUUACCUGAGAUCUGGUGGAAGACACUCGCAUUGGUGAAUGGUACACAAGAAUGGAUAAUGCUGCGGGGGGAGGGGCGGGGGCUUGGGGUGUCAUCAAGGAUUAAAGCCCAGACCAGAAAUCAUGUUGAAUUGGCAACCGUGCUGUCUGCUUCAACCACAAGUUUGCUGGUUUUGUUGCCAAACUAAGCUAAUUCUUUAUAGAAGGAAAGAACAAAAUUUUUUGGAAGAGACAGUUGUGGUACUUUUCCUUCUAAAAGAUUGUGCGAAGUUGUAAUGGGUGGCAAAAUUUUGCUAUUGCAAUUCAUUGAUCAGAGUCAGAAGUUAAAAUCAUUAUUAUAAAUUUUGGUGGAAAUACCGAUCAAUAGUACAGAAAAAAUAUGUUGCGAAUUGUGAACCCCAAUUGAGGAAUGUGCUAUAUAUUAUGAUUUCUAGUAAAUAAUAAGCAAUACUUUUAGAUGAUUAUUUGAGGCUUGAACAACUUGUCUGGGUUGUAAUUGUCUGAAGCUUUUGAAAUAUGUCUUUCUGAUCAGAUGCGUUCUUCUCCCAGUAUAUGGAAUCGCUGAAAAUAUUGCCAUGGAGUUUGUAAAAGCUUUUAAUUUGCUAAAAUACACCACACAAGUGAAAGUGCUUGAUUUUUACUUUGAUAUUAGUCUGAAUUACACAUUGGUGGAAAUCUUAUUUUUUCAUUGAUCCUGGAGUCAUCCCAAGACAGUACAAUUUGAAAACCAGAAGAACUGGAAUUCAGUGAUUAUACAAUCUUACCAUUUACUUGAACAAAAUUUAGAUAUGGAAAGGAAGUGGGACUUCAGUAGUGUGCAAUCCAAAUUACCACAUCAAUGGAAGCAAACAUGUAUCUAAUGCUAUUCACACAAAGCCACACCUAAUUUCUUUUGGCAUAAAGCCACAAUUUCGAUUACAAUUUUCGCUAGGUAGUUAUUGUAGAAAGAAAGACUGAAGAAACUCAAAAGGAAUUACAUUGUGUUGAAGAUGCAGGAGGUUCGAAACCAUGCAUUAUUGGUGGACGAGGUAUAGUUCCAUGCAAAUUAUUUCUUACCUUGCUAAAUUCUCUGUGAUAACAUCUGAGAAAUAAUCUUCAUAGUUGGCCUGGACUGUGGGUUGACAUUUAAGCAUGCAGUUACGAGCUUUAUGAUAGAUAUCACUUCCCCUUCAUCUUGGGCUAUAAGAGGUGGGAGUCGCGGGUCCAACAUAUCUUCUAACACUAUGUUCUCCUUCUGUGGGGAAACUGAUAGAGACAAGAUCUGAUCUCCAGGAUGUCUUCCUUUGAUAACUUCCAGAGCUAUCACUCCAAAACUAUAGACAUCGGUUUUUUUUGUCACCCUCAGUGUAUAAGCAUGUUCUACAAAAUUAGAAGAUAAAUAUUACAAAGUGGACAUGUUAGAUUUCUUUGUUAAUUGAGUGAACAAUACCUGGUGUAACGUAUCCGAAUGUGCCUGCAAGUGCGCUCUGAUUUGAUGAGUCUAGCUUUAGAAGCUUGGCAAUGCUGAAGUCAGAAAUAUGAGGCUCAUAUUGAGAAUCCAGCAGAAUAUUGUUGCUUGAUAUAUCUCGAUGAACAAUUGGGGAUAAGCAAUCAUGGUGGGGGGUGAGCAAUUAAUCAUGGUGCAUGUAAGACAGCAUGAGCCACUCCUUUAAUGGUAUUGAUCCUUGUAACCCAACCCAAUUUCUUAGCUUCUUCUCUGCUCAAGAUUGUAGCCAGGCUACCUCUUUCAAGGUACUCAUAGACCAAAAAGAAGUGUCGUGGAUGUGAACAGAAACCAAGAAGUCUCACAAUGUUUCGAUGCUUGAUUUCUGUCAGUGCCCUUACUACAUUGAAGAAGUCCCUUUGAUUUGCCGUAUCUAUGUCGGAUGGGUAAAGCUUUUUCACAGCUACAAUAUUACCUGAGGACAGCUCUGCCUUGUAAACCCUUCCAUGCCCACCUUUUCCGAUGCAAUACAUGGGAUCAAAAUCCUUGGUGGCCUUUGUAAUCUCUUCAUACAUUGUUCUUCCAUCAAAAGUUGAUAUUGAGAGGAGAUUAUUUUGUACAUCACCUUCUUCGAUUUCUGGAGUUCUCUCUCUUCUUUCAACAAUGAAGAAAAUUCCAAUGAAAGCAAAAAGAAGUAGAAGUGCUCCCAAAAGAGGGAAUAUGAUUAUAAACACAACUUUAAUUUUAUAAUUAAACUAUUUAAGAUUUAUAAAUAAAAAAAUUAUAUUAUACAAUUAAAUAUCCUAACAUAGUUUAUGUGGAUGAACCUAGUUUUGUCUCGUGGGUAGAAGAAUUUGUGACAUUAUUUGGAAGAAGGGUCAAUAAAGACGAGGAUGGCUUUGUUUUCUAUGGCUGGCUUUCCAUUGGAGUAGAGUUUGUGUCUUCUUAGAAUGAGAAACAACAUGGUUAAAACAACUGUACAUAGCCAACAGGAUUAAGGAAACAAAGUUUAAAUGGGUGACUCCAUGGUUUCAAUUGAUGUGUAGCAAAUAAUGGAUCAAUAGUCCAUUUGUAAACAUGUGAGUUCACCAUACCUUGGACUUGGAAACUCUCUAACUAUCUCAUCACUAGGAGAUUAUUAGGGAAAGAGAAUGACCAUAGCCUACCACUAGGACCGGUUUGCCCCUUAUUAAAUAUAUUGUACCAAAUAUAUAUAUAUAUAUAUAUAUAUAUAUAUUUUGAAAGUCAUCAUAUAAACACAAUAUUAAAAAUAAUUUAAAAAUCAAAUUAAUUAUAAUUAAAUAAUUUUUUUAUUUAAUUAAUUACAAAAAAUAUGAAAAUUAUCAUGAUAAUUUUCUUCAUAGUGUUUUUAAUAUCAUUAAUAAAUUAAUUAAAUAUUAAAAAAAUUAUACAUAUAUCAAAAUUUAUUUUAUAUCAUUUAAUACAAUUGAAUUAAAUGGAUAAUAAUUUUAAUAUUAAAUAUAUUUUAAAAUUAGACAUAUUAUAAUCAAAUAUUACAAUAUUAUUAUGAAAUAAUAUUUGACGUAAUUUAAUAAUAAAUGUACAUAUAUAAAAUUCAUAUUUUUUUAUUGAUGCAUAUACUAUUAUUAUCAAAUAUGAUAAAUCAUAUUAUAAAUAUAUCAAAUUUUUUAACAAAAUAACUUUAAAAUAUCUAAUAUAUUUUUAAUUAUAUUUUUAUGAAGUUUUUCUUAUAUUUCUAUGAAUUUUGAUCAAUUUUAAGUUUACCGAUAUUUUUUUUUCAAAAUAUCCGUUGAUAUAUUUGUAAAAUCGAAGUAUCGAUAUAUUCGUGAUUACCAAUAUUUUUGUGAAACUAAGGUUUGGUUAAUCUCGAUUUUGAUGAUAACAAAACAAUGUUUAAAAUUAAUGAUUAUAUUUCAAGUGUAAUUAGGCAAGACGAUUUCCAAAGUGGUAAUCACAAAGACAAAUCAAGUCAAAGAGAAAUCACCAAGAAGAAGAAGACCUCAAAGAGAAGUGUUUUUCAAGACCCAAGCUUCAUAAGAUCUCUUUAUAAGGUUGUUGGUAUACUAGGAUUUUCAUGCAUUACAUUCUUAACUUAUGUACCAAAAUCAUCUAAGAGUUAUUUUGUUUUAAAUAUUUUAAAAUUGGAUGAUUUCAUGUUUUCAACUAAAAUCUUGUGUCAAAUGUUUUUCAAACUUGUUUUAAAGGUUUUAAGUUGAAAAGGUUGGUUUUUGAGCCAAAAACGGCUCAAUCGGUUGAAUCGAAUGAGGAAUCGGUCAACCUCCCAGCUCAACCGAUCGACCCCCACCCCAACCGGUCGAGGAGUGCAAAAAACCUUUUCUUUCUUCUAACACGGUUGUUCAAUCGGUCAAGGUUGAAGCUCAAUUAGUCGACCCCCACCUCAACCAAUCAAGGUUCGAUCAAGGGGCGGUCAAGGUCUAACGGUCACUUGCGAAACAUUAAAUGCUAAUGACUAGUCAACCAGUCGACCCCCAGCUCGAUUGGUCGAACCCCAGCUUGACCGGUUGAACCCCCAACGGCUAGUUUGACCAUUUUCCUCUAUAAAAAGGCUCAAAUCUUCAUUGUUUCAUGAACUUAACCUUCCCAAAUAUUUCUUGAAUAUAUUUGAGUCUUGGAAGAGUGUUUUUGAGUGCACCAUUGUUCUAAAACUUGCAUAUCUUUAGUGCACCAUUCAAUCCUAGUUUUAUUGUAUCAUUUGAGACUAAAGUUUUGUAUUAGGAUUUUAUGAAAUUAUUUGUAUAUCUUUGAGAGGAAGAAUCUAAGUGUGAGGUAUCACUUAUGGAUUUUCAAGUGUGGGGUAUCACUUGAGAGGUUGUUCAAGAGUGUGGUAUCUCUUGAGGAUUGUAAAGGGUGUUUGGAGCCAAAAGUCCAAGAGAGUGAAGUGGAACCAUAAUUCAAUUGUAUUGCUUGAAAGUUUGGUUUGGAAGCCUUGAAAUAGUGGAACCUCAAGCUUGAGAUUGAAGUUAGAGGAGAGUGGACAUAGGCUUGCGCCGAACCACUAUAAAAAUCUUGUGUUUGCAUUUUCUUUUCCUUAUUCUCUUAAUUUAUAUGCAAUUAUUUUUAUAUUGUUUUAUUAUAGAUUUGCAUAUAAUUAUUUUUUGCAUUCACAUAAUUUAAAUUUAUAAAAAGAGACUAUCACCCUAUUCACUCCUCUUAUAGGGUGAUUACCAUAGAUUGGAUUAGCCUAAUUUUUCUAAUAAUUUUCAUCCAUGUUCUUGAAUUUGAUUCACACAUAUUGUGAAGGUCUUUCAAUUGUUUGCCUCGUGUGAUUUGAAUGCUUGUUGACUUAGGUUGUAAUGCCUCAAACCCAAUUUAGGGUAAAAUUGUAAUUUAUAAAUUAUUAAUUAAUUAAAGUAGUUUAAAAAGGGUAGAAAUGUCUUUUCGUAUUUAAAACUCCUAAGUAUAAAUUAGAUUUUUCCUAUCUUCUUUAUUGAGAAAACCCUUUUACACAUAGAUAAAAAAGAUCAGAGAGUAUAGAGUUGAAGAUUUGGAUGUUUAGGGUUUGAGGAUCAAUUUUUCAAGUAAGAUUUUUAGUCCUUAAAUGAAUAUUUUAUAUUUAUUAAUUAAUUUUGAACACUUUAUAUAUUCUUUAAAAUAUCUCAAUUUUGAUUAGAGUUUGUUUAAUUAAUAUAUAGGUCAAAAAGAUUAGAAAUUUAUGAACAUAAUUUGAUUUAUUAAUGAAGAUCGAUAAAUUUUGAUUACUCAAAUGAAUAGAUCUAGAAAAUAAAUAAAUAAAUAAAAUAAGAGUCGUGUGAUUUUUUGGAACGGUGAAGAAAAAAAUAAAAUAAUAUUGACGUGUGUCAUGUAGUAGAAGGUUUAAAAGAAAAGAAAAAAAGAAGAAGGAUGCGUGUGGGGGAAGGAAGAAACAAAAGAAGAAGAAAAAAAAGUGUUAUUAUAAUAAUAAUAAUAAUGGGUAUAGUUGGUGGCUUGAAGUAGUGGUGUUGUAGGGUCUUUGAAAGUAAUAAUAAUAAUAUAUAUAUUUAUAUAAUGGGGUAUGUGGGUGGAAUUGUGGUUAAGUGAAAGUUGGAUCAUGUGAAUAAUAAUAAUAAUAAUAAUAAUAAUAAUAAUAAUAAUAAUAGUUUAUUGUAUAGGUUUUAAUUUAAUUUAAGUAUAUAAAGAAAUAAAUAGUGAGGGUAAGAUUAGGAAAGAAAACGAAUUUUACAAUAAUUUAGAAACUCACUAAAUUAAUUUAUUAUUGUUUAGUAAGUUGAAAAUAAUAUUGGGUGGUGAUAAUAUUAACAUAGAAAAUUAAUUAAGAUCCCUAAUACUAAAUAAAAUAUUUUUAGUAUUGUCAAAUUUAUAUCUAGAUAAAUUAUCAAUAAUAAAUGUUGGGUAUGAUAUUAUGUUAGGUGAGGAGUAAAUUCUUCAAGCUAAAUUCUUCAAGAUUUUGAGUGUUUCUUCAAGGUAAGGGAAAUUAAUACAGAUUUUUUAAAAGGAAAUAAAUUUAUUUUUAUAUUGUAUUUUGAAAUGUGUAAAAAUGUUAUUUUUAUUUUUAUGCAUGGAUCAAAUAUAUGUUUUGUAUGAAAAAUACGUUUGAACAGUUUCUUUGUUUAUGAAAAAUGAAAAAUUUUGAGAUAUGAUGUUUUGUUUUGUAAGUUUGAAUUAAUGAAAUGAAGUGUUUGACUUUGAUUUCUAUGGCCCUAGUCAACGGGUUAUAAUUGUUGACAUAUCCGGCCCCAAUCAACGGGCUAUAAUAGUUGAUAUUAUAUGACAUUAGUUAACGAGUUAUAAUAGUUGACCUUAUGACCUUAAUCAACAGGUUAUAAUUAUUGAUAUUUGGUUUUAAUCACCUUUAAUAAAAUAAAUUUGAAACUAGUUACUCAUUUAUAAAGUCCCACUUAACUAGACACCAUUUGUUAUUUGAUAAACAAAGUAAAGAUAUUUUGAAUGCAUUUGAUUUGGUUUUGAUGAAAAAUAGUUUUGAAAUGAAUAUGAGAAAGUUUUGUUGAAACUCAAAAGUUUUUAUGAAAAUAAGUAUAUAUUAUAUUUCCUAUUUGCAAGCAUGAUUGCAAAUGUUUGAUCCAUGAAUCUGUAUUAAUGUCCCUUAUUAGGCUCUGAACUCAUCCUCUUUGUUGAUAAUCUUUUAGGUAACCUUAGUUCGGACAAGGAGUGAUCAUUAAUAGGAAAAUUUGGUUUUAUUAGGACAUUUGUUUAAACUCUCUUUAUUUUGGACAUUAUUUAGAUGUUAAAACUUAAUUUUCGUUUGAAUUAUUUUGAGUUUGAAGUUAUUUGGACAAUAACACUUUACUUGAUGCAUUAAUUUUUUUUUUUAAAAGUUGAUACUUGGAGAUUUUAGAAUUUUGUCCUAUUACUUUAAAUAUGAAUUUGAUAAUUUGUAAAUUUUUAGUUACAAUCUAAAUGUUUAUGUCGUUUCGACUUUGAGUCAAUGAGCUUGAGGUGUGAAAAGAACGUCAUACUCUUGAAGUGGGUUUUGGGGUGUGACAUAGAUGGUUGGGUGGCAAUUCCUAUCAUGAACACUUAUCUCAUUUGGAAAAAAAAUGCAUUCAAUAAUUUGUGUCUUGCAAGUUAGUCAAAUCAAAAUUUGGGUUAGGUCAUGUCAGGUUGACUCUAAGGAAGAAAAUGUAAAUAAUAGAUUAGCAAAUGAAAACAAAGUUUGCAUAAUGAAGUUAAUAUCCCACUAUGUACAAGAACAAACCAUUCAUCUCAUUGUUUAACAAUGGUAUAUCUAGAAGAUCAAAUCUUUAAUGUUCAAGUCCGCUGAUCCUUGCACAUUGUCCACUAGUUCAAUUCUACUUACCCACAAAAAGUAUUUUUGAUAUUUUUCCAAUCUUCUCCUCAUUUUCCAAGGCAUUACAAAAAGGGACGUGCAAUAUACAGAAAGGCUUGAGAGGGCACUAUUAGUGAGAGUCAAUCCUACACCUACACCACCUUAUUAUAUAUUUACCUUUUUCAACCUAUUGCCAAGACCUUUGCUAUGGAGUUUGCAAAAGCUUUUUAAUUGCUAAAAUACACCAUACAAGUGAAAGUGUUUCAUUUUUAUCUUGAUAUUAUUCUGAAUUACACAUUGGUGGAAAUCUUAAUGUUUCAUUGAUGCUGGAGUCUUCCCAAGACAAUACCAUUUGAAAACCAGAAGAACUGGAAUUUAGUGAUUGUACAAUCUUACCAUUUACUUGAACAAAAUUUAGUUAUGGAAAAGAAGUGGGACUUCAGUAGUGUGCAAUCCAAUUAACCAUAUCAAUGGGAGCAAAUAUGUAUCUAAUUCUAUUCACACAAAACCACACCUAAUUUCUUUUGGCAUAUAGCUAUAAUUUCUAUGAUUACAAUUUUCGCUAGGUAGUUAAUGUAGAAAGAAAGACUGAAGAAACUCAAAAGGAAUUACAUUGUGUUGAAGAUGCAGGAGGUUCGAAACCAUGCAUUAUUGGUGGACGAGGUAUAGGUCCAUGCAAAUUAUUUCUUACCUUGCUAAAUUCUCUGUGAUAACAUCUGAGAAAUAAUCUUCAUGGUUGGCCUGGACUGUGGGUUGACAUUUAAGCAUGCAGUUGCGAGCUUUAUGAUAUCUAUCACUUCCCCUUCAUCUUGAGCUGUGAGAGGUGGGAGUCGCGGGUCCAACAUCUCUUCCAACACUAUGUUAUCCUUCUGUGGGGAAACUGAUAGAGACAAGAUCUGAUCUCCAGGAUGUCUUCCUUUGAUAACUUCCAGUGCUAUCACUCCAAAACUAUAGACAUCGGUUUUUUUCUGUGACCGUCAUUGUAUAAGCAUGUUCUGCAACAUUAGAAGAUAAAUAUUACAACGUGGACAUGUUAGAUUUCUUCGUUAAUUGAGGAGUGAACAAUACCUGGUGCAACGUAUCCGAAUGUGCCUGCAAGUGCGCUUUGAUUUGAUGAGUCUAGCUUUAGAAGCUUGGCAGUGCCGAAGUCAGAAAUAUGAGGCUCGUAUUGAGAAUCCAGCAGAAUAUUGUUGCUUGAUAUAUCCCAAUGAACAAUUGGGGGUGAGCAAUCAUGGUGCAUGUAAGACAAAGCAUGAGCCACUCCUUUAAUGAUAUUGAUCCUUGUAGCCCAACCCAAUUUCUUAGCUUCUUCUCUGCUCAACAUUGCAGCUAGGCUACCUCUUUCAAGGUACUCAUAGACCAAAAAGGAGUGUCGUGGAUGUGAACAGAAACCAAGAAGUUUCACAAUGUUCCGAUGUUUGAUUUCUGUCAGUGCCCUUACUUCAUUGAAGAAAUCCCUUUGAUUUGCCAUAUCUAUGUCGGAUGCGUAAAGCUUUUUCACAGCUACAAUAUUACCGGACGACAGCUCUGCUUUGUAAACGCUUCCAUGCCCUCCCUUUCCGAUGCAAUACAUGGGAUCAAAAUCCUUGGUGGCCUUUAUAAUCUCUUCAUACAUUGCUCUUCCAUCAAAAGUUGAUAUUGAAAAGGGAUCAUUCUGUACAUCACCUUCUUCGAUUUCUGGAGUUCUCUUUGUUCUUUCAGCAAUCAAGAAAAUUCCAAUGAAAGCAAAAAGAAGCAUAAGUGCUCCCAAAAGAGGGAAUACAAUUAUAAACACAAUUUUGUGGCCCUUUUUGACAGGUUGUUGGCCUGCUCCAGAAUCAUUUUUGCAAGGUUGCAACCCUUUAACAUUGCCGCACAAAUCUUUGUUCCCCUUUAACAACUCAAUGGUGGCAUCUCGAAAUGCUUUGCUGUUGGGAAUGGGACCCUGCAAUUGAUUGUAAGAUAUGUCAAUAUCAGACAAGCCCCGCAUUUCUUCGAAAGCCUUUGGGAUGAAACCGGAGAGGUUGUUAUGGGACAGAUUAAGGUUCUCUAAGCUCUCCAAACCUUCGAUUUGUGGUGGGAUUUCUCCUGAAAGCAAGUUGUGACUCAGAUCUAACUGGGAGAGGUGACUCAGCUUACCCAUCUGAGCUGGAAUUCUGUUGCUAAGUUUGUUAUUGCUCAGGUUCAAGUAAUGUAAGUUCAAGCAGGCACCCAAGUUCUCUGUUAUUGACCCAUUCAAUCUAUUUGCUGAUAGAUCGAGAUGGCAAGAGUGAACAGUGAUCCAAGUUCGGGAGGUAUACUCCCAGAAAGUUGGUUAUCAUUUAAUUUUAGCUCCAACAGAGAAGUUAAACUUCCCAUUUUCUUUGGGAUUUCCCCAACCAAAUGAUUUGAAGAAAGAUCAAGCAAGGUUAGAUUAGUUGAGAUUCCAAAAUCUUCUGGUAUGCUCCCUGUAAUAUCGUUCCCGGCCAUCUCCAGCCUUUGUAGUUUUGGGCACCUUCCCCAGUUAUGAGAGAGUUCGCCAUGAAACCUGUUGUAGCUCAAAUCGAUGUAUUCCAGGUUGGGACAGUCACCAACUACCUCAGAUAUAUUUCCAGUGAGUUGAUUUCCCCCGAACAGAGCUCUGGUUAAGUUUCUGCAAUUUUUCAUGCUUUUAGGGAUGGGACCACUGAGAAGGUUGUCGCUCACUGUAAAGCGCACCAGAGAUCCACCUUGGCAAAUGCCUUCUGGUAAAGAGCCAGACAGCCGAUUUGUGUCGAUUUCUAGCACAACCAACUUAUGAAGUUUCCCAAUUUCUUUAGGAAAGUAACCAGAAAGAUGGUUAUCACGGAGGAAUAAAAUUUCUAAGUUGGUCAGAUUACCCAGUGAAGUAGGAAUGGAACCAUUGAGUUGGUUUUCUGAAAGUUCUAGAUCAACAAGAGACUUCAAGUUACCUAUUUCUUGAGGAAUGGGACCGGAAAGUUGAUUGGCAUAGAGAUGCAGGAGGGUUAGGCCACUGAGAUCACCUAAGGACGCAGGGAUUGGACCAGAAAGAUUGUUUUCGUAGAGGCUUAGACCUUGCAGAGAUUUCAAAUUUCCUAUUUCUGGUGGGAUAUGCCCGGAGAGUUGAUUGUUGAAUAGGUACAACAUGGUUAAACGUUUCAAGUUUCCGAAAGUGGAAGGGAUGAGACCUGUGAGAUUGUUGGUAUCCAAGUAUAUCUCAACAAGGUUGGUGAGAUUUCCCAUUUCUGGAGGAAUGGAACCGGAAAGUUGAUUUUCAUAGAGAUACAAAGAGGCCAAGUUGCUCAAAUUACCCAAAGAAGCAGGAAUAGAACCCUCCAGUUGGUUGGUGUACAAAGCAAGCUCAUAAAGAGACGACAACUGACCCAUUUCAUGAGGAAUUGAACCAUUGAGCUGAUUUUGAACCAGGUGCAGGACCUCAAGAUUAGUUAAUAGGCCAAUCUCGGGCGGAAUCCCUCCUGAGAACUGGUUGAUAGAGAGAUCAAGGUAUUUGAGCUUGGAGAGGAGACCGAUUUGGGGUGGGAUAGGACCAGAGAGGUUGUUCAUGCUGAUAUCAACAUACGCAAGAUUGGGAAAAGAUGAGAAUGAGAAGUCUUCAAGCGUACCUCUUAAACCCGACUCUGUGAGGUUUAUUCUGAUGACGCUCCCUGCAUGGUUGCAGGAUAUUCCGUACCAUUUGCAUGGACUGGCUUCGGUUCCAAGGUGGGUAGAAGAAUUGGUGAAGUUGUUAGGAUAAAGAGUCCACGAAAGGAGGGAGGAAUGGUUAUGGGUGUGAAGGGUAGCUUUCCAUUUGAGGAGAGUUUGUGUUUCUUCAUUAGAAUAAGAAGAAACAUGAUGUGAAGCAAUGAACAUAACCAAGAAGAGCUGGGAAACAAGGGAGAGCAUUUUCUGUAAGGUUGAGAACGCCAUGUAUAGUUUUAGUUGAUACAUAGCAUAUGCUGCUUCACAUCUUCAUUUAUACACAUUUGGUUCCUUUGGUCCGUCUAGGUAUCUGUCUUAUUCACACGUAUGGGAGGGAAGAAAGUUGUAUUUUAAUGUCAAGAUUAAGGUCCAUUACGCAUUACUGUUUUAUUCUUUCUUUUUUCCAUAGGAAGCUAUGUCAUUAUGGUGAUGGAAGUCUUCUCUUUUUUCAAAUGAAUGCUGACCCUGAAGGUUGGUUGGAAUUAACAAUGUCUUUCAAGCGUUUUCAAAAAUAAUUUUCUAUUUUUUAAAAUAAAAAAAUAGGAAAAUAUGUUUUGCAAUUAGCUAUUUUCUAUUAUUAAAAUUAGAAAACUGUUUUCUAUUAUUAAAAAUAGAAAACACGAUAUUUUCAAACACCAUCUUUGAAUUAUUUUUACUUGUUUUUAAGGGUUGUUUAAAAAAAAUAAUUAUACAAAUAUGAAAAAUGAUUAAAAAUAAAAAAAUAGAUAUAAAAAUUAUUUUUAAAACAUAUUUAAGAAUAUUAAAAAAUAAGUUAAAAAUAUUUCAAAUUUUUAGAUAGAAUUUUAUUUUACAAAACAUCAAAAAACAAUUUUAAAAACUUUGACAAAAAACUAUUUUUCAUAAUUGUUUUUAAAAACAGUUGCCAAGCAUAGCUUAAUCCUUUUUGGGUCUUGACUUCUAUUUGUAUGAUCAUAGUGCUCUUCCCUUUUUAUUCUUAGCAAAAUAAAACAAACUUGAAGGUUUGUUUUAGUUAAAUAAUUGCAAAAAAAAAAAAAAAAUGUUAGUACUUCAUAUUUAAUCACUUAAGUUGAUUUAUUAAAACUUAGGUGGGUUUUUUUUUUUUUUUUUUUUUUUUUUUUUUUUUUUAAUUUUUUAAUUUUUUUAGUUAUUUAAUAUCUAUUUGAAAUAAAUAUUAUAUUGCAUCUUAAUAUUUGUUAUUAAAAAAAUAUGAUAUGUCACAUAUUUAUUAUUAUUUGAAAAUUGCACUACAAUUCAUAAUUUAAUAGAAAAUUUUAAUUUUAUAAUUAAACUAUUUAAGAUUUAUAAAUAAAAAAUAUUAUAUUAUACAAUUAAAUAAACUGAACAAUUUGCAUAAAUUAAAUAGCAUAUUAAAUGAUAUAUAUUAGUAUUUUGCUGUCUAUUUUAUACUUACUUUUUAGUCAAAUAAAUUACACUUAAAUUAUUGUUAACGAUAUUUAAUACAAAUUUAAUGCUAAACUGGAUCUCAUGCUUGUUAGGUUAUCUCUAUGGAAGAAAACACCCUAAGGUCCAUCCUAGAAAUCCUACGAUUAGUCCCCAACACUUCUUUUUACACUCAAACUCAGAACUUGGAGUAGAGUUUGAGUUUUUCUUAAAAUGAGAAACAACAUUGUUAAAACAAACAGUACAUAGUCAGGAUUGAGGAAACAAAGUUUUUUCUAUGUAGCCUUCUUGAGUUUGAUUCACUCUUAUGGUGAAGGUCUUUCAAUUGUUUGUGUCUUGUGUGAUUUGAAUACCUGUUGAUUCAAGUGGUUGGGUGGCAAUUUCUACCAUGUAUUCUUUAUUUCAUUUGGAAAAGACCAUGCAUUCAACAAUUGUCUGCGCCUUUUGAAUGCUCGUUGAUUCAAGUGGUCGGGUGGCAAUUCCUACGAUGUAUUCUUUAUUUUAUUUGGAAAAAAAAAUGCAUUCAUUAGUGGUGUGUUCCUUUUGAAUACUUGGUGACUCAAGUGGUUGGGUGGCAACUACAUUAGUGUAGGUUAUCUUACAUUUUCGUUGUGUCCCAUAAAAUUGUAGGACCAAACAAACCCCUCGUAUAAACACAGUAUUCUUAUUGUGUCCUAUAAAAUUAUGAAACCAAACAGACAAAUAUUGAUCAUGAUUAUAUGACCAAAUACACAUAUACUCAUCAUGGGACCAUAGGUUUACAUGAUCAAACAAAUAAAUAUCCUUUAUGAUUAUAGGAGUAAAUACAAAGACACUCAUCACGGGGUAAUACAAACCCCACAUCCGGGUUGUAAAUUGACUAUAUAAUUUAUAAUGACCCAUUCUUAAUAGUGCAUAUAUUAUCCACUUUUGAUUCAAAGAGAAUCUCAUAACUUUAAAAUAUGUUUAUAUUAUUAAGAAAAAUUCAUACUUAUAUAACGUCAUAAACUUUCUUCCCUAUUCAAUGUGAGAAGAUAUCAUAAUUGUCAUGAGAUGGGGAUGAACAUGGUUUUGAGGGCUAGUCUUGUAAUCCUAUUAUUCCUAUCUUAUUGAUCCUAUAAUAUUCCUAUUUACAUGAAAUUUUUUUGAGACCUGAUCCAUGAGAGAACGGAGACUUGGAGAAGUCUCCCACUCCCUUUGAAGGAGCUAUUAUUAGGGGAAACAAUGAUAAGUUUUCCACUAUUGAAGGCACUUGCCUGCUCUCAAUUCGGAGAAAAUGCACUUCUGGGUUUUGAGCUGACUGCAUUGACUUGAUACAUGUUUGUAAUAAUGGCUGAGCUGAAACUUACGAUUAUUAUGCAGUUUUAUUGUUGCCAAAACUUGUUGGAUAUACUGGGGAUGAACAUAACUUGUAAUCCUUAUAUUUUAUGGUAUCAGCUGUGGUAGAUUGGAAGUUUUUGUUUUGUCCCUUGAUAUCCAUCUUAGGCUUAAUUUUGGUGCUAUGCAUUCUUGAAAACCAAGCUGAUUGUGACUACCAUAUAUUUAGUGGAUGGCCUUGUUUUUGUUGCAUGUAUCAGUUUUGGUGAAAAUUUUGGACUCUCACUUGUAGAAUUAGAAAGGAAGCUUCGGGGAUUUGGUAUUUCUUUUUUCUUGUUUGAUCAAUCCAUUGAAGCUCACCAAAUUUGACCCUUUUUAAUGGGUCACACCUCAGCUCUUCAUAAGUUUAUGGUGGGCCAGGAUUUGCCUUGGUUCCCUUUACUUUCGAGUGUAUAUGUAGCCUUUUUUUUUGUUUUAGUAUGAAAAGGCUAAUCACAUGAUCUUAUUCAGUUUUUUAACUGAAAAUGCUAAUCACAAUAGCUUCAUAAUAAAGCUAACCAGGGUAAAGUUUUUACCUUAAAACAAGUGUUGUAGUAGAAAACGGUACUAUAUGAGCCUAAAGAAGUGAUCUUGAAGUCAGUGUUGAGCAAGUGAAGGCGAACUUUAUUUAUAUAUUGGCUCCAAAUCCAUGCAUAUCAGUGGUUUGGACAUUCCGAUGUGGGGUAUUAAGUGGUGUUUUUAGGAAACUUGCCCAAAGUUGGAGGCAGUUUUUGACAGUCCCCUUCAUAUACUUCUUCCAUGACCCAUCAAGUGGAACCUUUGAAUUUGCACAGCGGCCACAAAGCACAAAUUUUCAGAGGCUUCUAGCUAGUUAAUCUUUUAGAUUUCCCCUCAUGAAAUCAACUACUACUUGAAGGAAUAAACCUCCCUACUUAUAGGUACCUAGGAAGGCUCCAAGUCUAUACAUAUCCAAUGUAAAAUUCUAAGAGUUGUUAUCGUGCUACUGGAACAGAAACAACAAAAAAUGAUCCACCAUCACAGUUUUAAGUUAUCAAUAAAAUCCAACCAAGAACAAUUCUGCCUUCUUAAAUGGGGCUUUAUACCAUUCCAAAUUCCAAUAAUGAGAUACUUUUGAGUGCUGUGUAAUUUGGAGUAUAGUUCUUCUUCAACUUUUGGUUGGGGAGAAUUCUUCUAUUUCUCACUCCGCAAGCCAUGAAAAUAAGCAGAGGGAAGUCAUGCUGUAUACUGUACCUUCCUCCAUCUUUUAUCAAUACUCUUCACCUUCCAAUACAAAAGGAGCCUUUUUCACAAAAUUUUGAAGCCCCAAGCGUAGCUAGGGGUGUGACUUAGGUAGGUUGAUAGUCAAUUUAAACUUAACUCAAAAAUAAAUCACAUUUGUGUGAAGCUCAAUCCAACUUGAUGUAUAAGUAUAACUUGAGUUUCCUAACCUGAGCUUAACCUAAACCUUUUUUUAAAAACUCCGAUUGAAAUCGGAUUAAGUUCGGAUUAAAGAGAAAUGUAUGAGUUAGUGAUUAGAUCAAAACUCAAGUUGAGUCAACUCAGGUUGACUCCAGGGAAAGAGAUGUAUAAUAAAUUAGCGAGCCAAAAGAAAGUUUGCGUAUGAAAGUUAAUAUCCCACUAUGUACAAGAACAAACCAUUAAUCUCAUUGUUUAACAAUGCUUUAUCUAGAACAUCAAAUCUCUGAUGUUCAAGCCUUCAGUCCUCUUAUCCUUGCACAUUGUCAGCCGGUACCCGAGGUGCAAUUUUCUAUUCACCCACAAAAAGUCUUUUUGAUAUUUUUCCAAUCUUCUACCCAUUUUCCAAGGCAUCACAAAAGGGGACUUGCAGUAUACAGAGAGGUUAGAGAGGGUUACUCUUAAGUGAGAGUCAAUCCUGCCCUUUACCACACCUACACCACCUUAUCAUUCACCUUUUUCAGCCUAUUGGCCAAGACCUUUGCUAGGAGUUUAUAGAAGUUUUUACUUCCAAAAAUACACCAUACAACUAAGAGCGUUUUAUUUUUACUUUGAUAUCGUUCUGAAUUACACAUUGGUAGACUCUGUGAGGUUUAUUCUGAUGACGCUCCCUGCAUGGUUGCAGAAUCCCAUACCAUUUGCAUGGACUGGUUGCCGUUCCAAGGUGGGUAGAAGAAUUGGUGAGAAGAGCUUGUGUUUCUUCAUUAGAAUGAGAAGAAACAUGGUCUGAACAAAUUAACAUAACUAAGAGGAGUAGGGAAACAAGGGAGAGCAUUUUCUGUAAGGUUGAGAAUGCCAUAGCUUUAGUUGAUAAAUUGCAUAUGCUGCUUCACAGCUUCAUUUAUACACAUUUGGUUCCUUUGGUCCUUCUAGGUGACUCUUGUUCGCACGUAUUCCCCACAGGAAAGAAAGUUGCGUUUUAAUGUCAAGAUUGAGGUCCUUUAAAGCAUGGCUCCUUUUUCUUUCUUUUUUCCAUGGAUUGCACUGUACUAGUAUGGUGGUCUUCCUACGUGAUUAUUGUAGGGACCCCUCCCCUUGGGAAACACGUGGCACGCAGCUCAUAGUGACACGUGGCACGUGUUAUCAUCCGGACCAUCAUUACCCGGAUUCCCCUAAGGAUAUGCAUGGUGUAGACAUCCUAUCCGGACCGCCUCAAGGAAAGGCAAACGACGUUUCAUCUUCUCCUAUCCAAGGAAGAGCAAACGACGCUGGCAGAGCGUACACAUCCGGAUAGUCUCCACAACACAUCCGGAUAGUAAGCAUGAGCCAUCCGGAUAUAAAUCUUCUGGAUGGUCAAUUAAAGUAAAGCGAGUCUUACACGCAAUCACAACAAGCAGCCAUGGCCCACAUCCCAUCACCUGCAGAAUGGGAAGACAAGAGGAAGUGACAGCAAGUCACUUCCCACGAUCAUUCUGCAUAAUCGCUUCCCACGAUCUCUGACGGCCGCAUCACCUACCAUAGUCUCUGACAGCCAUUCAUAGGAUGAUAGUGCUCCUACUAAUACCUAUUGUCAUCAUCACAACAGAAAAGAUCUCCUCACCAUUAAUGAGAGGAACAGUACCCCUGAAGCUGGAUAUAUAUACCUUCGCACGAAGAAGAAAGGGGGCUGCUGGUAACCUCUUGAUACCUAAAAAAGGCCAACUGAUUUAUAUAUCUCUUUCUCACCAUGGCUAACAAAACCAUCGGAGGGUGCGUCCGGACACCCUGUCCGGAUGCCUUUUGCAGGUGCAACCACUGAAUCAAGAACCCCUUGUGUGUUGAGAAUCACGUGUCCAUCCAUAUAUCAGCAACGUGGACCAUCGGAUACGCGAGGCGACAACAAUUAUGGUGGUUGAAAUCUUCUCUUCUCUUCUCUUUUGGCAAAUGGAUGCUGACCAUAUGAAGGUUGGUUGCAAUUAAGGUCUGGUAACUGUUUAACAAUUUUUUGUUUUAUAGAAUAAAAAAAUAAUUUUUUUUUCUAUUAUUAAAAGAAGAAAACAUGGUGUUUUCAAAUAAUAUAUUUUAAUUGUUUUAGUUGAUUUUAGUUAUUUUUAAGGGUUGUUUAAAAAAAAUAAUUGUAUGAAUAUGAAGAAUGAUUAAAAAUAAAAUAAUAGAUAUAAAAAUUAUUUUUAAAACAUAUUUAAGAACAUUAAAAAUAGGUUAAAAAUAUCAAGUUCUUAAACAAAUUUUUAUUUAAUAAAAUAUUAAAGAAUAGUUUUAAAAGCCUUUUUGAAAAACUGUUAUUCAUAAUUGUUUGUAAAAAUAGUUGUCAGAGCCCAAUUCUUUUUGGGUCUUUACUUUUAUCUUUACAAUCAUAGUGGUUUUUCCUUUUUAUUCUUAGCAAAAGUAAAUAAACUUGAAGGUUGGUUUUAGUUAAAUAAUUGCAAAAGAAAAUUUUAGUAUGUCAUAUUUAAUUACUUAAGUUGAUUUAUUAAAACUUAGGUGAUGUUUUUAAUAGUGUUUAAUAAUGUUAAGUAUUAAGUUGUUUAUUUAUUUUUAAAUAUUUUAUUUCUAUUAAGUAUUACAAAAUAUAAAAAAAUCAAUAUGUUGAUUUUGACAUUUAGAAAAAGUCAAAUAUUUUGAUUUUUUUUAUUUAAUAAAAAAAUUUAAGAAAUAAGUAAUAAGUUAAAGUGAAAAAAUAAAUAAUUUGAAAUCUAAAAGCAAAUUACUUUCAACAAAAAAUAAAAAAAAAGUCAUCUUAAUAAUUAAUAUUUAGAAAAUUUUUAAAAAAUGAAGUGAAAAAAAUGGAUUCUAAGUUAAUAAAUUAUUUUUAUAUGGUUUUUCAAACUUAUUUUAAUUAUUCACUUUUAUAUAAAUAUUAAAUAAUUUAAAAAUGUUAAAAUAUUUAAAUAAUUUUAGUUAUAGUUAAUUUGUUUUAUGUAUUUUAAUCAAAUAUUAGAAAAUCAUUCUUCUAAAUAUGUUUUCAUCUCUCCUUCCUUAGAACUAAAGAUAAGAAUGAUAAUUAAAUAUGAUUUUAAUUUAAAUUAUAUUUAACUUGUUGACUUAACGUUUAAUUAUUAUCUACUUUUUAAUUUUAAGUAUUAAGAUUAUUUAUUCAUAUUACUUAAUUUUUAAAAAAUUAUUAACCUCAUAUUAUCAAGUAACAAGAUUAUUUGAGAGGUAUAAGGAAGAUAAAGGGACAUGGGCUGUUCAGGUAAAAAAAAAUUGAAAUUUAGAAAAAGUUAAUUUUUUUGAGCUGUUAUUCUAAGUUAUUUUAUUUUAGGUUUUAUAGGUUUGAUAGGAUUUUAUGAUUGGACUCCAUAAUUUCCCUUUGGUCCUUUUCAUUUUUGAAAAUAUUUUUGGCCCUUUUUUUCAACAAGGCUUUUCUUUGAGAAUUCCACAAGCCCAUUUUCACUGAGUUUAGCCCACUCUAUUUAACCCAAUUUUUAAGGCCCAUUAUACACACUCACUUUGUAAGAUUGAAUCCGAGCCAUUCAUUUUAUAUUGAAACCCUAGCCCUGAGGUAUGUUUAGUAUAAUAAGAAUAGGAUAUAUAUAUAUAAUAUCAUUUGGUAGCAUAUGAUAGAUACUUAUAUUUUAGAAUAUAUUUUUUGAGAAAUAUGAUAUUUUUGAAUAUUAUCUCUAAAUAAUGUAAAUGAUUAUAUUCAAUGAACUAUAUCUUAUAUUAUAUUUAUAAUUUUUAUAAAAUGAAUAAAUAAAUAAAUAGAAAAUAAUUUUUAAUUAUUUAAUAUCUAUUUAAAUAAAUGUUAUAUUGCAUCUUAAUAUUUGUUACUAAAAAAAAAAUGAAAUAUCACAUGUUUAUUAUUUUUUGAAAAUUGUUCAACAAUUUAUAAUUUAAUAGUAAAUUUUAAUUUUAUAAUUAAACUAUUUAAGAUUUAUAAAUAAAAAAUAUUAUAUUAUACAAUUAAAUAUACUAAUCAAUUUGUAUUUUACUGUAUAUUUUAUACUUAUUUUUCACUUAAUUUUCAGUCAAAUAAAUAAUACUUAAAUUGUUGUUAAUGACAUUUAAUACAAAUUGAAUGUUAAACUAGAUCCAUCUCAUGCUUGUUAGGUUAUCGUUGGGGAAUUAAACAUCCUAAUUUUUGUGGGAUCCUCCCUAAAAAGUGCCACAUGGCUCCCUUUCCCUUGGCCAAGCAGACGGCCCCCUUGCGACACGUGGCAUCACUCAUUCCACCCGGGGGGAAUUCUGUACGGCCAACGUUCCACCUUCUCCGGAUAUUUCACAGCCGGCGCCUGCCACCGGAUGGAAGAGAAAUGCGAUUCAACUUCCCUGGUCAGACAUGUUCGGAUCCGUUGGCGACGCUUACCCGGAGUACAUUCGCGGCUGACGAUUCAGAUUCCCCGGACAACUUGACUCGUCAGACACUCGCGAUUUUCCGGAUCCAUUUCUGCCCACAAUCAAAAAGCAAACUCCGACAACACUGUCGAUCAAGUCUCCUGAACUAUCACUCAUCUUCAAUACAAGAUAUGCUUGACAAGACACUCCCAAAUAUUCUCAGAUUGCCUGACGCAUUCCCGGUACCGAAAAUUAUAAAUUGAGGUGACAACCGCCACCCGAAUACCCUUCUGACAGCCAUCACCUCGCACCAAAAGGGUCAUGAUUGCUUCACCACCCUAUGAGCCGCAAUCAUGACUAUGGGACCCACUAGCACAGCAAGGCCAUACUCUUUGACUCAUAUAUAAACUCUAAGGAGACUCUCACAAGGGAAGAGGUAAGCAUCCUUGAAGAAAAUCACGGAGCAACACUCCCAAAGAAAAAAUCUGUUUUCAAAUAACUUCCAAAAGACUAACUUAAUCAUCAAAGGGUGUGUCUGGACAACCCAUCCAGACAUCCUUUUUUGCAGGAGGAAGAACGAAUCACUGUAAUGCGUUGAUCGAGAUUCUGUUGCUGGUGAUUGCUACUGCAGUGGGGGAAUUUUGCUAUCAACAAUUUUGAUCCUAGAAAUCUCAGUAUUAAUCCUGAACAUUCCUAUUUACCCUCAAAACUUAGAACUUAGUUUAUGUGCAUAGACCUGUUUUUAUAUCAAGGUGGGUAGAAGAGUUGGCGACAUUAUUUGGAAGAAUGGUCAAUAAAGACAAGGAUGGCUUUGUUUUUUUGUGUCUGGCUUUCCAUUGGAGUAGAGUUUGUCUUCUUAGAUUGAGAAAGAGUUUGUCUUCUUAGAUUGAGAAACAAUAUGGUUAAAACAACAGUACAUAGCCAAUAGGAUUAAGGAAACAAAUUUUAAGUUGGUGACUCCAUGGUUUCAUGUGAUGUGUAGCAAAUAAUGGAUCAAUAGUCCAUUUGUAAACAUAUGAGUUCCAAUAGUCCAUUUGUAAAUAUAUGAGUUCACCAAACCUUAGACUUGGAAACUCUUUAACCAUCUCAUCAUUGGGAGAUUAUUAGGGAAGAGAAUGACUAGAGUUCUCUUUAUAUAGCCUAGUUAGUUUGAUCCACUUUUAUGGUCAAAGUCUUUGUCACUUUAUCUCAUUGAAAAAAAAAAAAAAACCUUGAAGAAUUGUAUGUGCCUUGCAUGAUUUGAACAGUUGUUGACUAGUUUUAUCCUUGGAGGAUUAUUAGGGAAAAAAGAUAUGGCUAGAGUUUUUUCAAUAUAUGUAGACUUCUUGAUUUUGAUUCACUCUUAUGGUGAAGGUCUUUCAAUUGUUUGUACCUUGUGUGAUUUGAAUGCUUGUUGACUCAAGUGGUUGGGUGACAACUCCUAUCAUGAAGACUUGAUCUCAUUUGGAAAAAAAUGCAUUCAAUAAUUUGUGCCUUGCAAGUUAGUCAGGUCAAAAAUUGGAUUAGGUCAUGUCAAGUUGACUCUUAAGGAAAAAAAAUGUCUAACAAAUUAGCAAGCCAAGAAGCCUUUGCAAUAUUUUCCAUUCACCCAUAAAAAGUCUUUCCGAAAAUUUUCCAAUCUUCUCAUUUUCCAAGGAUCAUAAAAAGGGUCGUGCAAUCUAUAGAAAGGCUUGAGUGGAUACUACUAGUGAGAGCCAAUAGUACUAUACGGCUAUACCUACACCACCUUAUUAUUCACCUUUUUCAACCAAUUUGCCAAAACCACACCUAACUUCUUUUGGCACAAAGCCACAAUUUCUAUGAUUACAAUUUGCGCUAGAGUAGUUAAUGUAGAAAGAAAGACCGAAGAAACUCAGAAGGAAUUACAUUGUGUUGAAGAUGCAGGAAGUUCGAAACCAUGCAUUAUUGGUGUACGAGGUAGAGUUCCAUGCAAAUUGUUGGGACGUCAUUUGUUUGUUUGGCCCUGGUCAGCCGUACCACCGGGACUAGCCGGAAUGGGCCGGACCAGAGUGGCCUCCCCAGGAUUCGAACCCAAGUCCAAGACUUAAGGACGUUGAGGUUGCCCUCUUGGUACCAUCUGCGCUGCAAAUUCUCUGUGAUAACAUCUGAGAAAUAAUCUUCAUGGUUGGCCUGGACUCUGGGUUGACACUUAAGCAUGCAGUUGCGAGAUUUAUGAUAGAUAUCACUUCCCCUUCAUCUUGGGCUGUGAGAGGUGGGAGUCGCGGGUCCAACAUAUCUUCCAACACGAUGUUCUCCUUCUCUGGGGAAACUGAUAGAGACAAGAUUUGAUCUCCAGGAUGUCUUCCUUUGAUAACUUCCAGUGUUAUCACUCCAAAACUAUAGACAUCGGUUUUUUCUGUGACCUUCAUUGUAUAUGCAUGUUCUGCAACAUUAGAAGAUAAAUAUUACAACGUGGACAUGUUAGAUUUCUUCGUUAAUUGAGGAGUGAACAAUACCUGGUGCAACGUAUCCGAAUGUGCCUGCAAGUGCGCUUUGAUUUGAUGAGUCUAGCUUUAGAAGCUUGGCAGUGCCGAAGUCAGAAAUAUGAGGCUCAUAUUGAGAAUCCAGCAGAAUAUUGUUGCUUGAUAUAUCCCGAUGAACAAUUGGGGGUGAGCAAUCAUGGUGCAUGUAAGACAAAGCAUGAGCCACUCCUUUAAUGAUAUUGAUCCUUGUAGCCCAACCCAAUUUUUUAGCUUCUUCUCUGCUCAACAUUGCAGCUAGGCUACCUCUUUCAAGGUACUCAUAGACCAAAAAGGAGUGUCGUGGAUGUGAACAGAAACCAAGAAGUUUCACAAUGUUCCGAUGUUUGAUUUCUGUCAGUGCCCUUACUUCAUUGAAGAAAUCCCUUUGAUUUGCCAUAUCUAUGUCGGAUGCGUAAAGCUUUUUCACAGCUACAAUAUUACCGGACGACAGCUCUGCUUUGUAAACGCUUCCAUGCCCUCCCUUUCCGAUGCAAUACAUGGGAUCAAAAUCCUUGGUGGCCUUUAUAAUCUCUUCAUACAUUGCUCUUCCAUCAAAAGUUGAUAUUGAAAAGAGAUCAUUCUGUACAUCACCUUCUUCGAUUUCUGGAGUUCUCUUUGUUCUUUCAGCAAUCAAGAAAAUUCCAAUGAAAGCAAAAAGAAGUACAAGUGCUCCCAAAAGAGGGAAUACAAUUAUAAACACAAUUUUGUGGCCCUUUUUGACAGGUUGUUGGCCUGCUCCAGAAUCAUUUUUGCAAGGUUGCAACCCUUUAACAUUGCCGCACAAAUCUUUGUUCCCCUUUAACAACUCAAUGGUUGCAUCUCGGAAUGCUUUGCUGUUGGGAAUGGGACCCUGCAAUUGAUUGUAAGAUAUGUCAAUAUCAGACAAGCCACGCAUUUCUUCGAAAGCCUUUGGGAUGAAACCGGAGAGGUUGUUAUGGGACAGAUUAAGGUUCUCUAAGCUCUCCAAACCUUCGAUUUGUGGUGGGAUUUCUCCUGAAAGCAAGUUGUGACUCAGAUCUAACUGGGAGAGGUGACUCAGCUUACCCAUCUGAGCUGGAAUUCUGUUGCUAAGUUUGUUAUUGCUCAGGUUCAAGUAAUGUAAGUUCAAGCAGGCACCCAAGUUCUCUGUUAUUGACCCAUUCAAUCUGUUUGCUGAUAGAUCGAGAUGGGCAAGACUGAACAGAGAUCCAAGUUCGGGAGGUAUACUUCCAGAAAGUUGGUUAUCAUUUAAUUUUAGCUCCAACAGAGAAGUUAAACUUCCCAUUUUCUUUGGGAUUUCCCCAACCAAAUGAUUUGAAGAAAGAUCAAGCAAAGUUAGAUUAGUUGAGAUUCCAAAAUCUUCUGGUAUGCUCCCUGUAAUAUCGUUACCGGCCAUCUCCAGCCUUUGUAGUUGUGGGCACCUUCCCCAGUUAUGAGAGAGUUCGCCAUGAAACCUGUUGUAGCUCAAAUCGAUGUAUUCCAGGUUUGGACAGUCACCAACUACCUCAGAUAUAUUUCCAGUGAGUUGAUUUCCCCCGAACAGAGCUCUGGUUAAGUUUCUGCAAUUUUUCAUGCUUUUAGGGAUGGGACCACUGAGAAGGUUGUCGCUCACUGUAAAGCGUACCAGAGAUCCACCUUGGCAAAUUCCUUCUGGUAAAGAGCCAGACAGCCGAUUUGUGUCGAUUUCUAGCACAACCAACUUAUGAAGUUUCCCAAUUUCUUUAGGAAAGUAACCAGAAAGAUGGUUAUCACGGAGGAAUAAAAUUUCUAAGUUGGUCAGAUUACCCAGUGAAGUAGGAAUGGAACCAUUGAGUUGGUUUUCUGAAAGUUCUAGAUCAACAAGAGACUUCAAGUUACCUAUUUCUGGAGGAAUGGGACCGGAAAGUUGAUUGGCAUAGAGAUGCAGGAGGGUUAGGCCACUGAGAUCACCCAAGGACGCAGGGAUUGGACCAGAAAGAUUGUUUGCGUAGAGGCUUAUACCUUGCAGAGAUGUCAAAUUUCCUAUUUCUGGUGGGAUAUGCCCGGAGAGUUGAUUGUUGAAUAGGUACAACGUGGUUAAACGUUUCAAGUUUCCGAAAGUGGAAGGGAUGAGACCUGUGAGAUUGUUGGUAUCCGAGUAUAUCUCAACAAGGUUGGCGAGAUUUCCCAUUUCUGGAGGAAUGGAACCGGAAAGUUGAUUUUCAUAGAGAUACAAAGAGGCCAAGUUGCUCAAAUUACCCAAAGAAGCAGGAAUAGAACCCUCCAGUUGGUUGGUGUACAAAGCAAGCUCAUAAAGAGAUGACAACUGACCGAUUUCAUGAGGAAUUGAACCAUUGAGCUGAUUUUGAACCAGGUGCAGGACCUCAAGGUUAGUUAAUAGGCCAAUUUCCGGUGGAAUCCCUCCUGAGAACUGGUUGGUGGACAGAUCAAGGUAUUUGAGCUUGGAGAGGAGACCGAUUUGGGGUGGGAUAGGACCAGAGAGGUUGUUGAUGCAGACAUCAACGUAUGCAAGAUUGGGAAAAGAUGAAAAUGAGAAGGCUUGGAGCGUACCUCUUAAACCGGACUCUGUGAGGUUUAUUCUGAUGACACUCCCUGCAUGGUUGCAGGAUAUCCCAUACCAUUUGCAUGGACCGGUUGCCGUUCCAUGGUGGGUAGAAGAAUUGGUGGAGUUGUUAGGAUCCGGAUAAAGAGUCCACGAAAGGAGGAAAGAAUGGUUAUGGUUGUGAAGGGUAGAUUUCCAUUUGAGGAGAGCUUGUGUUUCUUCAUUAGAAUAAGAAGAAACAUGAUCUGAACAAAUUAACAUAACCAAGAGGAGUAGGGAAACAAGGGAGAGCAUUUUCUGUAAGGUUGAGAACGCCAUGUAUAGUUUUAGUUGAUAAAUUGCAUAUGCUGCUUCACAUCUUCUUUUAUACACAUUUGGUUCCUUUGGUCCUUUUAGGUGACUGUCUUGUUCACGCGUAUUCCCACAGGGAAGAAAGUUGCGUUUUAAUGUCAAGAUCAAGGUCCUUUGAAGCAUGGCUCCUUUUUCUUUCUUUUUUCCAUGGAUUGCACUGUACUAGUAUGGUGGUCUUCCUGUGUGAUUAUGGUGGUUGAAAUCUUCUCUUUUUGCAAAUUUGGAAAUUAAGUUUAGCAGGUGUUGUUGAACAAUAUUUUUAAUUGUUUUUAGUUGAUUUCACUUAUUUUUAAGGGUUGUUUUAAAAAAAAAAAAAUUAUAUAAAUAGGAAGAAUGAUUAAAAAUAAAAUAAUAGAUAUAAAAAUUAUUUUUAAAACAUAUUUAAGAACAUUAAAAAUAAGUUAAAAAUACCAAUUUCUUAAACAAAAUUUUAUUUUACAAAAUAUCAGAGAACAAUUUUAAUUUUUUUUUUCAAAAAUUGUUAUUCAUAAUUGUUUGUAAAAAUAUUCUAUUAAAUAGAGCCUAAUUCUUUUUGGGUCUUUACUUUCAUGUUUAUAAUCAUAAUGGUUUGCCCUUUAUUAACAAACUUGAAGGUUUGUUUUAGUUAAAUAAUUGCAAAAGAAAAUUUUAGUAUGUCAUAUUUAAUCACUUAAGUGGAUUUAUUAAAACUUAGGUGAUGUUUUUAAUAGUAUUUAAUAAUGUUAAGUAUUAAGUUGUUUAUUUUUUUUUAAUAUUUUAUUUCAAUUAAGUAUUAAAAAAUAUAGAAAAAUUAAUAUGUUGCUUUUGAUAUUAAGAAAAAGUCAAAUAUUUUGAUUUUUUUCUAUUUAAUGAAAAAAUUUAAGAAAUAAGUAAUAAGUUAACAAAAAGUGAAAAAAUAAAUAAUUUGAAAUCUAAAAGCAAAUUACUUUAAAAAAAAAAGUUAAAAAAAAUGUCAUCUUAAUAAUUAAUAUUUAGAAAAUUUUAAAGAAAGUGAAAAAGAAAAAAAUGAAGUGAAAAAAAUGGAUUUUAAGUUAAUAAUUUAUUUUUAUAUGGUUUUUAAAACUUAUUUUAAUUAUUUUCUUUUAUAUAUAAAAAUUAAAUUAUUUAAAAACAUUUAAAAAUUUAUAAAUAAUUUUAAUUAUAUUUACUAACUUUUUUUUAUGUAUUUUAAUCAAACAUUAGAAAAUACUUUUUUUAAAUAUCUUUUCGUCUCUCCUUUCUUAGAACUAAAGAUAAGAAUGAUAAUUAAAUAUGAUUUAAAUUUAAAUUAUAUUUAACUUGUUGACUUAACAUUUAUUAUCUAAUUUUUAAUUUUUAAGUAUUAAGAUUAUUUGUUCAUAUUACUUAAUUUUUUAAAAAUUAUUAACCUCAUAUUAUCAAGUAACAAGAUUAUUUGAGAGGUACAAGGAAGAUAAAGGGACAUGGGCUGUUCAGGUAAAAAAAAAAAAAUGAAAUUUAGAAAAAGUUAAUUUUUUUGAGCUGUUAUUCUAAGUUUUUUUUUUUUUUUAGGUUUUAUAGGUUUGAUAGGACUUUAUGAUUGGACUCCAUAAUUUCCCUUUGGUCCUUUUCAUUUUUGAAUUUCACUGAGUUUAGCCCACUCUAUUUAACCCAAUUUUUAAGGCCCAUUGAGUUUAUAUUGAAACCCAGGUCUACUUGAUAAUAUGAGGUUAAUAAUUUUAUACACACUCACUUUGUAAGAUUGAAUCCCAGCCAUUGAUUUUAUAUUGAAACCCUAACCCAGAGGUACUUUUAGAGUCUUUAGUAUGAUAAGAAUAGGAUAUAUAUAAUAUCAUUUGGUAGGAUAUGAUAGAUACUUAUAUUUUAGAAUAUAUUUUUUGAGAAAUAUGAUAUUUUUGAAUAUUAUGUAUUUACUAUAUAUUAUAUUAUAUUUAUAUUAUUUAUAAAAUAAAUAAAUAAAUUAUUUUUUAAAUAAUAGAUACUUAUAUUUUAAAAUAUAUUUUUUGAGAAAUAUGAUAUUUUUAAAUAUUAUCUCUAAAUAGUGUAAAGUAUUAUAUAUAUAUAUAUAUAUAUAUAUAUAUAUAUAUAUAUAUAUAUAUUUAUAAAAUGAAUUAUUUAAUUAAUUAAAAAUUAAUUUUUAAUUAUUUAAUAUUUAUUUAAAAUAAAUAUCAUAUUGAUCCAAGUGAAGCUCAUCCCUUGAAUAGUAAUUCCAAAAGUGCUACAGUCAGCAAGAAAUUGCAUGAUAUGCUCUUGCUUUGCUUCUCCUGUAGCUUUAGCCUUUUCACAGAUCAUCUGUCUAAGGUUUUCAAGAAGGUCCAAAUUUUUCAGCUUGAAAAAUGAAAAUCUGGAAAUUUGACAUUCUUGGCUUUCUUGAGAAAGUUUUGAAUCUUCAUUUGGUUUUGAAAGUUCUUUUUGAAAUUCAUUUUGAAAAUCUUUUGAAAAUGCAUCUUUGGAUCCUUUUGCUUUUUUCCUGCAAAUGAAAUUUUCAAGAUCUGUAUCCAUUGGUGUGCAAUGUAUAUCAGAACUUGAAGGGUUAGAAAAACUUUCUAAUUUAUCAUUUAACUGUUUAAAAUGGAAAGAUAAUGCAUUUAAAGCUUCCAACUUUUGAAUAUCACUUUUUGCAUUCCAGAGGUUGUCUAAAAUGCAUUUUUGUGAUCUGUCUAAACCUUCAAUAUCUUUAUGAAUUCGAAAUGACAUAUUACAUUUAGGGAAUACUGGAAGAGUAAAUUUCCCAAAUGUAAUUCUUUCUUGCUCCAUCUGUAAACAAAAUUCAAAUAUUAGUAUCUCUAUUGAAGAAUAAAACAAAUAUCUAAUGAUUUUGUCUUUAUCAUACCAAAUUUGAAAAUAUAUUGAGUUUAUGAGAGGAACAUAAUUUCUAAUAAUGAUGUUAAAAUGAGGUUUUGAAUAUUUUGAAAUCACAUUUAUUGACUUAUAUGAGCAUGCACAAAUACCAUCACAAUCUUUUUGAUUAUCUGAUUCUUCUUCUAGACUUGACUCGUCACUUGAUAUUUCUUGAGUUAUAAGGAUUUGAUUAUCUUCUUCUGAUUCAUAAUUUUCACUUGAUUCAUCAUUUUCUUUAUCAAUCAUUAAUCCUAUCAUUAGAUUUUUGAGUUUAUCACUUAUUUCUAAUGAAUUGAUUUUAUUUUCUAAUUGACAAUCUCUUGAAUAAUGACCUACUUUUCCACAUUUAUAACAAGUAGGUGUUUUCUUUUUUAAAUCUGAGGAUUGUUUUUAUCAGUGUUAUGAGUGAUUUCAACUGAAUCGGUGUCUACCAGGAUGAACUCAUAGAAUUGACGAGUUUUCAAAGGAUCAUUUGAAUUAAAGUUGACUCCUUGAGGAAAGAUGUAAGGAAGAAUUUUAGGAAUCUCUUCAAAAUUGAACUCUGGCUCAAUGAAAGCAAUUUCUAAUGUUUUGGGUUUUUUGACAUAUUGACUAUAGGAAUAUGAAGGAGAAGGAAACUGAGAAGGAGAAGGUAAUGUUGAAAUAGUGUUGGGGCUUGAUUUACUCUGAACAACAAUAUUUUUAGGGGAUGAUUUAGAAGCUUGAAUAAAACUUUUUGAAGGUUGAAGAGGAGGAAAAUCUGGACUCAAAACUUGAAAAGAAUUUGAUGUCUGCAAAGGAAAAGUAGGACGAACAUUUGAAAAGUUUGAAAUCAUAGCAUAUGAUGCUUUGGUUUUCUUGGAUGAUGAAGGAAGUUGAGGCCUAACGGGAGUACCCAUUAGGAUGGAGAAGGAUCCUUACCCUGCAAAAACUCCCGAGUAAGGAAGUCAGGAAGGGAAUUCAACUCUCCUUUGAUAAAUUCGAUUUCAAAAUCAAAGUUUGAAAGUAAAGCUUGCCAUCUUGCAAAAAUUUGUUUUGAAACCAAAUUUUUAACAUCUUUUUGUAAAAUAUCUUUUGCAGCUUUGCAAUCGAUUUUCAAAAGAAAUUUCUUGUUUAUCAAAUCACUUUGAAAUUUUGAAAUACACAAAACUAUUGAUAAAACUUCUUUUUUGACAGUUGAAUAAUUUAUUUGAGCGCCCAACCAGAUCCCUGAAUGAUAUCUAACUAUAUGCACUUGAUUGUUAUAUUCUUGCUUUAAUAUGCCUCCAUAACCUAAAUUAGAUGCAUCUGAUUCUACAAUGAGUAAUGCAUUUGGAUGAGGAAUGCUGAUGCAUGGUAAUCUUUUGACUCUUUGUUUAAUUUCUUUAACCAGACUGGUAUGAUGCUCAUUCCAUGCAGGUGCAUUUUUUGUAAGUCUUUUGUAUAAUGGUUCACAAAUGAUUCUCAAAUCUUUGAAGUAAUCAGAAACAUAAUUUAAACAUCCUAGAAAUCUUUGCAAUUGUUUUUUAUCUUUUAUUUCAUCAGGAAAUUUGUCAGCGAAUUCUAUUGAUCUUUGAAUCGGUUUUGUUUUUCCUUGAAAAAUUUCAUGACCUAAAAAUCUGAUUUUUGUUUGAAACAAUUUCAUUUUUGGAGCAGAACAAGCCAUUCCAUUUGCUUUAAUGACAUUAAAAAACUUUUUCAAAUGAAUAAAAUGUUUUUCUAAUGAAUCAGAAAAUACUAAAACAUCGUCAAUAUAUACAAUGAUGAACUGAAAAUGAGGAUUAAAAAUAUCAUUCAUAAUAUUUUGAAAUUCAGAAGGGGCAUUUUUGAGACCAAAAGGCAUGACAUUCCAUUCAUAAUGACCAAAAGGGACAGUAAAAGCAGUUUUGUACCUAUCUUCUUCUUUAAUUUGAACUUGCCAAAAUCCUGAUUUCAUAUCAAAUUUUGAAUAAAUGACAGAACUAUGAAGUCUUUUAAGUAAAUCUUGCUUAUUAGGAAUAGGGUAUCUUAUCCAUUGUAAUACUUUAAUUAAAGGUUUAUAAUUAAUGACUAAUCUAGGUGCUCCUCUUUCUAUCUCAGCAGCAUUUUGAACAUAAAAAGCAGCACAACUCCAAGGAGAUUUUGAGGGUCUAAUUAAUUUCUUCUUUAAUAAUGAAUCAAUUUCUUGUUUGCAAUAUUUCAAAAGUUUUUCAUUCAUUUGAAUCGGCCUAGCCUUAGUAGGAAUUUUGGACUCAUCAAAAUUUUGAAUGUAAGGCAAACUUAUCUCAUGUUUCUUUCUUGACCAAAAAGCAUUAGGAAGAUCAGAACAAAUUUCAUUUUGAAAAAGAUCUUGAAUCUCUUUAAUUUUCUUUUGAACUUUAUCUUCUAAGAGUUGUUCAUCUACCUUUUUAUAUUGAAUUUCUUUUGAUAGAUAAUUUAUAUGAGCUUUCUUUCUUUGAAUUAAAUUUAUGUUCUUAUUUAUUGAAUCACUUUGAACUUGAUGUAUUUCUUUUUUAGUUAAUGGAUAUAUAAAGGGAAAAAAUAUGGUAUUUCCUAAUAUUGUAGUUUUGACACCUUCAUCAUUUACUUGAAAAGGGUAAAGUAAGGUAAUAAAAGGAGUUCCUAAUAUUAGAGGUUCAUUCAUAUUUUGUACUAAUAUAAAUUGAGUUCUAAAACAAUAAUUAUCUUGACAUAUAUGAACAUUUUGAAGUUUAUAUUUUAUUUCUAAUUUUCCUUUAUUUGCAGCAAAAAGUUCUUGUCCUGUUUUUUCAUAAUAUUUAGUAGGAAUUAUUCCUUCUUGAAUACAAUUCAUAUCAGCUCCCGAGUCUAUUAAUGCUACUAUUUCUAUUUCAAAAUCUUCAACUAUAAUUUUUAUAUUUGUAUACCAUCUUUGAAAAUAUAUUUUUGAUAUUGUAUUUAUAAAUGAUUCUAUAGGAGUUAUUUUAUUAGGUAUUAUUAUUCCUGGUUCUUGNNNNNNNNNNNNNNNNNNNNNNNNNNNNNNNNNNNNNNNNNNNNNNNNNNNUAUUUGAAAAACCAAAGGAAAAAAGGAAUAGUCAUCUUAACUUGUUGCAUAUAUUUUUCAUAUUGUUUUCUUAAUGCAUUUCUAACUUGAGGAGGAAGUUGUUGAAAAUAAUUUCUUUUUGCCGUAUUUUCAGGAGAAAAAUAAUUUGCUUUAAUUAAUUCUACUUCAGGAACAAAAUGAUUUCUUUUAAUGUAUUUUUUCUAAUGAUAUUUAUGUUUAAAGGAGGUUUAUCUUGAAAGAAAAUUUUUGACUCAGACUCUUCUUCAAAAAGAGAAAUUUCAGGAACAAAGUUUGAACUAUUUUUUAGUUGAUUUUCUAUUUGAUUUAAUUCUUCAUUAAAUUUUGAAUUAUUAAAUUUUAUAUGAUGACUCCAUGAUGAUGCAGCUACUGAUGCAGAUGAUGAUGCAGUAGAUGCAUUGAAAAUCUCAUUAUCUUAUAUGAAGAACUUUCUAAAUUAUAUGCAGAAUUAUUUAAUGCAGAUGCAGAACUUUCAUGGGACCUAAGAGAUCUGGAAGAACUAUUUCUACUUAAUUCCCUAAUAAUAUUACUCAUUGUCACAGAAAAUAAUCACAAUUUUAUCCUUAAUCAAUUCAGAUAAUUUCCUGAACAGGGACCACCACAAGCGGAUCAACACGGGACUUACGCUCCUUCUGCCCUUAAACACCGCUUAUCACAGGCUGACCAAACCGUUCACAGGAAAUUCAACCCGAACUAAGUCAGGACUAAAUCUGCGAUUAAUCACUGUUCCAACUCGUAACAUCACUCGGUUCUCAAGCAGAAAAUGGCUCUGAUACCAUUUGCACCCAGGACAUACAACAGUUCGUGCAUGCAAUAAUUAAGUAAUAAUUAAGCAAUAAUUAGCAAUAAUUAAAUCUGUCUAAUUAUCUCCAAGCAUAAAAACUGAAAUAUUUAAUGUCUAAUACUGUCUAAUUUAUUGCAGAAAUUUAAGCAUAAUAAAACAAAUAUUUGAAUCUGAAAAUAUUGUUUAUUGAAAAUAUACCUUGAUUACAGAGAGCUGAUGACUACAGGUUGUUGACAGCAGAGGAAUGACUCUAAUUCAAAAAGAAAAUUACAAAAGAAAAUUUUUGAACUCUCAGAAAUUUUUUGAAACUAUCUCUUGGCUGUUGGAACUCUCCCAACUCUUGGAACUCUUGAACCCUUGCCGACCUCUCACCCUAGCCGACCUCUGCCUGAUGAAGAAGGUUGAAGCUCCUUAUAUAGGUGAGGAUUCGGACUUUAGAUGAAUCUUCAAUCUUGAAAGUUUUGGAAUUUCAUCACAUGUAGGCCAGGUGGAGCAUUCUGCAGAAGAAAGAGUGAGGGAAGAUUUCAAAAUAUUCAAAACCUCAUUUUAACAUCAUUAUUAGAAAUUAUGUUCCUCUCAUAAACUCAAUAUAUUUUCAAAUUUGGUAUGAUAAAGACAAAAUCAUUAGAUAUUUGUUUUAUUCUUCAAUAGAGAUACUAAUAUUUGAAUUUUGUUUACAGAUGGAGCAAGAAAGAAUUACAUUUGGGAAAUUUACUCUUCCAGUAUUCCCUAAAUGUAAUAUGUCAUUUCGAAUUCAUAAAGAUAUUGAAGGUUUAGACAGAUCACAAAAAUGCAUUUUAGACAACCUCUGGAAUGCAAAAAGUGAUAUUCAAAAGUUGGAAGCUUUAAAUGCAUUAUCUUUCCAUUUUAAACAGUUAAAUGAUAAAUUAGAAAGUUUUUCUAACCCUUCAAGUUCUGAUAUACAUUGCACACCAAUGGAUACAGAUCUUGAAAAUUUCAUUUGCAGGAAAAAAGCAAAAGGAUCCAAAGAUGCAUUUUCAAAAGAUUUUCAAAAUGAAUUUCAAAAAGAACUUUCAAAACCAAAUGAAGAUUCAAAACUUUCUCAAGAAAGCCAAGAAUGUCAAAUUUCCAGAUUUUCAUUUUUCAAGCUGAAAAAUUUGGACCUUCUUGAAAACCUUAGACAGAUGAUCUGUGAAAAGGCUAAAGCUACAGGAGAAGCAAAGCAAGAGCAUAUCAUGCAAUUUCUUGCUGACUGUAGCACUUUUGGAAUUUCUAUUCAAGGGAUGAGCUUCACUUGGAUUUCUUGUUAUGACAAUACUUAUAAUAAUUGUCCAAAGACCGAUCCCUUGUGUAGAGAAAUUCCAUUAGAAAGGCAUGACUGUAAGUGUGCUCUUACUUACAGUAUAUGCAAAGCCAACAUUAACCUAGACAGUUAUAAACCAAUAGUCAGUCAAUAGAGUUAACUCCAUCCCUCCUCAUGGACUAUGGAGUUCUUUAUCAAUUGAUUUUCUCUCAUCCUGAUCAAACUGAUAAAUUUGGAAGAAAAUUAGUUGUUUGUGUUUUAAAUGCAUUCAUCAAUGAUUUCAAAUCUGUCGAACUCAUCAUAGAAAGUAAACCUCCUGAAUGGUCGAAUGAUGGAGGAGUCUACCCUGCUCAACAUCUCAUUUUACUCAAAGCCAAUCAGAGAAAACAUCAGCUGUUUGGUACAGAGGACCCUUGGCCCUGUACUAAAUCCAGUCUCAAAAAACAAAUCAGACAUUGGAGAUCAAGAAUGAUUGCAAGAGACCUUGAUUCCGAGAUUUAUAGUUCUUCUAACUAUAAUCUCAUUGCUGAAGAUAAUAUUCAAAAAAUCAUCUUUGCAAAUAACUUUUAUGAAGUCCCUCUUUUGUUUCAAACUCAAUUUACUUAUCUUGUUGAUAAGUAUAAAAGAGAAUAUGUCCUUGAAGAAGAAGCCAGAAAAACUUUUGAGAAAUAUCUCUUAGAAAUGCUCAGCUAAGAGAUAUCAAGAAUCAAGAAUCUUUUGUACAUCUGUAAAGUAGCUCUCUUAUGAUUAUCCAGUAAAAAAAAAAAAAAAAAAAAAAAAAAAAAGAACAGUAUAUGAAGUCUGAAGAAGUGCACAGUGCACAGUUUGUAAGUAAAAAAAAAAAGUGAAUAGUGUUUUGUGAAUAGUAAAUCCGUCCUUUAAAGUAAAAAGCAAGAUGACUCAUUACCCAUGUGACCAAAUGAAGAAGAAGAAAGCAAAUUUACCUCCUGCAUACACGUGGAAGACAUCAAAGGCAUAAUGCCUUCUUGAAAGCCCGAAGCCUUUGCUAUAAAUAGGGCUCAAAGGCUUCCUCCCAAGGCAGAGGUCGGCAAGGGUUCAAGAGCUUGGUAGAGAGUUCCAAGAGAGAUAGUUUCAAGAGUGAAAAAAUUUGAGAGUUCAAAAUUUCUGAGAGUUCAAAAAUAUUUUCUUGUAAUUUUCUUUUUGAGUUAGAGUCAUUCCUCUGCUGUCAACAACCUGUAGUCAUCAACUCUCUGUAUUGAGGUAUAUUUUCAAUAAACAAUAUUUUAUUCAAAUAUUUGUGUUAUUAUGCUUAAAUUUCUGCAAUAAAUUAGACAGUAUUAGACAUUAAAUAUUUCUGUUUUUAUGCUUGGAGAUAAUUAGACAGAUUUAAUUAUUGCUAAUUAUUGCUUAAUUAUUACUUAAUUAUUGCGUGCAUGAACUGUUGUAUGUCCUGGGUGCAAAUGGUAUCAGAGCCAUUUUCUGUUUGAGAACCGAGUGGUGUUACGAGUUGGAACAGUGAUUAAUCGCACAUUUAGUCCUGACUUAGUUCGGGUUGAAUUUCCUAUGAACGGUUUGGUCAGCCUGUGAUAAGCGGUGUUUAAGGGCAGAAGGAGCGUAAGUCCCGUGUUGAUCCGCUUGUGGUGGUCCCUGUUCAGGAAAUUAUCUGAAUUGAUUAAGGAUAAAAUUGUGAUUAUUUUCUGUGACAAUGAGUAAUAUUAUUAGGGAAUUAAGUAGAAAUAGUUCUUCCAGAUCUCUUAGGUCCCAUGAAAGUUCUGCAUCUGCAUUAAAUAAUUCUGCAUAUAAUUUAAAAAGUUCUUCAUAUAAGAUAAUGAGAUUUUCAAUGCAUCUACUGCAUCAUCAUCUGCAUCAGUAGCUGCAUCAUCAUGGAGUCAUCAUAUAAAAUUUAAUAAUUCAAAAUUUAAUGAAGAAUUAAAUCAAAUAGAAAAUCAACUAAAAAAUAGUUCAAACUUUGUUCCUGAAAUUUCUCUUUUUGAAGAAGAGUCUGAGUCAAAAAUUUUCUUUCAAGAUAAACCUCCUUUAAACAUAAAUAUCAUUAGAAAAAAAUACAUUAAAAGAAAUCAUUUUGUUCCUGAAGUAGAAUUAAUUAAAGCAAAUUAUUUUUCUCCUGAAAAUACGGCAAAAAGAAAUUAUUUUCAACAACUUCCUCCUCAAGUUAGAAAUGCAUUAAGAAAACAAUAUGAAAAAUAUAUGCAACAAGUUAAGAUGACUAUUCCUUUUUUCCUUUGGUUUUUCAAAUAUAGGAAACCCCUUAAAAGAAUUGCAACAUUAACUUCAAGAAAAGCAAUAGAAAAUUCUCCACAUAAUAAAAAAGAGUCAAGUAAAGAAUCAAAAGAAGAAUUAAGUGAAACAAAAUUUAAUAAAAUUUUGUUUUCUUCUGCCCCGGGUGAGGUGGAGGAAACAGAAACAAAAACAAAAACAUCAACAGAAACAUCAAAACCAACAAAGAUAGAAAAUCCAAAAGAAAUCAAAAAGAUAAAUGUAAUAUCGUCAAAAGUAGAUAAGCAAAUAUUUUUUGAUGUUGUAGACAAAAUUCAAGAUAAAGAAAUACAAAGAAAUUAUUUACAAAAUUUAAAAAAUUUAAUUCUCACUGAAAAUCCAAAUAAAACUCAAGACAUCAAACCUAAUCAAUACUCAAUGGAUGAAAUUUAUAAUAGAUUCAAAAAGACUCAAAGGCCAAUAACUAUUAAAGACUUGGAAGAAGAAAUAAAAGAAAUAAAAAGUCAAAUAAAUCAAUUAAAAUUAGAUAAUGAACAAAUAAAAUUAGAAAAUGAAAUAAUAAAACAAGAAAAUGAUCAAAUAAAACAAGAGAAUGAACAAAUUAGAAACGUAAUACAAUAUAAACAAGAUUUAGCCGAAACUUCUGAAAACCAAGAACCAGGAAUAAUAAUACCUAAUAAAAUAACUCCUAUAGAAUCAUUUAUAAAUACAAUAUCAAAAAUAUAUUUUCAAAGAUGGUAUACAAAUAUAAAAAUUAUAGUUGAAGAUUUUGAAAUAGAAAUAGUAGCAUUAAUAGACUCAGGAGCUGAUAUGAAUUGUAUUCAAGAAGGAAUAAUUCCUACUAAAUAUUAUGAAAAAACAGGACAAGAACUUUUUGCUGCAAAUAAAGGAAAAUUAGAAAUAAAAUAUAAACUUCAAAAUGUUCAUAUAUGUCAAGAUAAUUAUUGUUUUAGAACUCAAUUUAUAUUAGUACAAAAUAUGAAUGAACCUCUAAUAUUAGGAACUCCUUUUAUUACCUUACUUUACCCUUUUCAAGUAAAUGAUGAAGGUGUCAAAACUACAAUAUUAGGAAAUACCAUAUUUUUUCCCUUUAUAUAUCCAUUAACUAAAAAAGAAAUACAUCAAGUUCAAAGUGAUUCAAUAAAUAAGAACAUAAAUUUAAUUCAAAGAAAGAAAGCUCAUAUAAAUUAUCUAUCAAAAGAAAUUCAAUAUAAAACUUGUUCUACAAUUUAUAAUUUAAUAGUAAAUUUUAAUUUUAUAAUUAAACUAUUUAAGAAUAAUAAAUAAAAAUAUUAUAUCAUACAAUUAAAUAUACUAAGCAAUUUGUAUUUUACUAUAUAUUUUAUACUUAUUUUUCAGUCAAAUAAAUAAUACUGAAAUUAUUGUUAAUGGCAUUAAAUACAAAUUUAAUGGGAAACAGGAUCUCAUGCUUGUUAGGUUAUCCAUGGGGAAUAAAACAGCCUAAGGUCGAUCCUAAAAAUCCUAAACUUAGAACUUAGUUUAGGGAGAAUUUUGUUUUGAGCCUAGUUGGGCCAAAAAAAUUGACUAAAGAUCCAUAUAUCAUGCACAUUUAAACCCAAGACACCAAAUAAAGUGUAAAAAUUAAGUUUAUGGAUAUUAUCCUUCAUUAAUCUUUAAAAUAGCUUUAACCCCUAUAUAGACACAUAGUGAGUGUAAAUUUCAAAUUUUUUUUUUUUUUUGUGUUGUUUUCCCUUUUCUAUUCCCAAUUAAAUAUUACUCAUUUCUAACUUUUUUAUUUUUCUUUUUUAAAGAUAUUGAAUCUUUUUACUCUUAUUAUAAGUAAGAAUAAAAAAAUUUCAUAUAAAAUUUAAUGGAUAAUCAAUGAAUGAAAUUUAAUUCUUUUUAUUAUUUUUAUAUAAAAAUAGUAUUAAACAAGGUUUUCAAUUUUUAUUUUUAAAAAUAGUUUUCAUUUUUUAAUUAAAUGUUUUUUCAAAAAGAAAAUAUAAAAAAUAUAAAUCAUAUUACCAUUUUUUUAGAAAGUAUUUUUAAAAAUAGUUUUUGAAAGUAAUUUUUCUUUAUUUAUAAUUUAAAAUAGAAAAUAAAGCUAAUUUUCAAUUAUUUAUAAAAAAAAAGUUUUAAAAAACAAUGAAAAAUCCAAAUGGUUAAAAUAGAAUUAUUAUGGUUGAAUGAAUAGUGGUGCAAUAAAAACCAAAAAAUCUUAUGUGAAAGGUCAAUGAGUAUUUUGAUCUUUUGAUAUCAUAUAUCAUUUCUAUCAAUUAUGUAAGUUAUAUGAACCAAAUCUUAAUUUUUGGACAUAGUUGGACCUAAAACACAAUUGUCCCCUUAGUUAAUGUGCAUAGACCUGUUAUUGUCUCAAGGUGGGUAGAAGAAUUGGUGACAUUAUUUGGAAGAAUGAUCAAUAAAGACGAAGAUGACUUUGUUUUCUUUGGUUGACUUUGAAACAUUGGAGUAGAAUUUGUGUCUUUCUUAGAAUGAGAGAUGACAUGGUUAAAAUAACAGUACAUAGUUAGCAAGAUCAAGGAAACAAAGUUUAAGUUGGUGACUCCAUGGUUUCAGUUGAUGUGUGGCAAAUAAUGGGUCAAUUGUCCAUUUGUAAACAUAUGAGUUCACCAAACCUUGGACUUGGAAACUCUCCAACUAUCUCAUUACUGGAAGGAAGACGACGACUAGAGUUCUCUAUAUGUAGCUUUGUUAAGUUUGAUUCAUUCUUAUGGUCAAAGUCUAUGUCGCUUUACCUCAUUGGAAAAAAAAGAAAAAAAAAACAAAUCCUUGAAGAAUUGUUUGUCUAGAAUGAUUUGAACGUUUGUUGAGUGGUCUUGUCAUUGGAAGAUUAUUAGGGAAUGAAAAUGACUACCGUUUUUAUUUUUAUUUUUUAUUUUCAUUUUUAUAUAUAGCCUUCUUGAGUUUGAUUCACUCUUAAGGUCAAGGUCUUUCAAUUGAUUGUGUCUUGUGUGAUUUGAAUGCAUGUUAACUCUAGUGGUUGGGUGACAACUCCGAUCGCCUAUUCUUUAUUUCAUUUGGAAAAAAAUUGCAUUCAACAGUUUGAAUGCCUGUUGAGUCAAGUGGUUGCCUAGCAACUUGUACAGUGUAUAUUAUUUUACAUUCUAUCAACUCUAGGUUUUUUAAGACAACCAUCCAUCCAUUCUAGGUUCAAACUUCAAAGAAGCCUUUACAGCUUUAAGACAAUCACCCGAGAAUAUGAAACCAAAUAGAUAAAUACCUUUCAUGAUUAUGGACCAAAGCUACAUUAGGGUUAGGGAUUGACUUUAUACCAUUUAUAACAAUCCGUUUCUAAUAGUGUGUAUAUUAUUCGUUCUGGACCCAAAAAGAUCCUUACGGUUUUGAAAUGCGUUCAUAUAAUUAAGAGGAACUCAUAUUUAUUCAACGUUGAAACUUUCUUUGUUCUCAUAUGUGAGAUAUCUCAAUUGUUACGAGACAGGGACAAACAUGGUUUUGAGGGUUAGUCUUGUAAUCAUCUUUAUGUUACAGAUCCUAUAUUCCUAUUUACAUUUAAUUUUUUGUAGACCUGAUCCAUGAGAACGGAGACUUGGAGAAGUCUUCCACUCCCUUUGAAAGGGCUAUUAUUAGGUAAAACAAUGGUAAGACUUUUUGUCUGUGAAGACUUGACUUGGGCUUGUUCCAGACUGGUGAAGGCACUUUCCCCUACUUCACUUUGGAAAAAAUGCACUUUUGGGUUUUGAGUUGACUGCAUUGACUUGAUACAAGUUUACAAUAAUGGCCGAGCUGAUCAAACUUACAAUUAUUAUGCAGUUUUGUUGUUGCCAAAACUUGUUACAUAUACUGGGGAUGAAGAUAACUUGUAAUCCUUUUGUUUUAUGAUAUCAGAAGUUUUUGUUUAGGCCCUUGAUAUCCAUCUUAGGCUUAAUUUUGGUGCUAUGUAUUCUUGAAAACGAAGCUGAUUGUGACUACCAUAUAUUUAGUGGAUGGCCUUGUUUUUGUUGCAUGUAUCAGUUUUGGUGAAAAUUUUGGACUCUCACUUGUAGAAUUAGAAAGGAAGCUUCGGGGAUUUGACAUUUCUUUUCUCUGGUUUGAUCAAUCCAUUUGAGCUCACCAAAUUUGACCCUUUUUAAUGGGUCACACCUCAGCUCUUCAUAAGUUUAUGGUAGGCCAAGAUUUGCCUUGGUUCCCUUUACUUUCGAGUAUAUAUGUAGCCUUUUUUUUUUUAGUAUGAAAAUCACAAUAGCUUCAUAAUAAAGCUAACUAGGGUAAAGUUUUUACCUUAAAAUAAAUAAAAAAUUGUUCUCAUUAGCAGUUUUUUGCAGGACAAGAAAAAUAUCGAAGAAAACAGGUGUUAUACGAGAAAACGGAAACUUGAACAUGAAUAAACCAUUAAUCUCAUUGUUUAACAAUGCUAUAUUUAGAACAUCAAAUCUUUGAUGUUCAAGCCUUCAAUCCUCUUAUCCUUGCACAUUGUCAGCCGGUACCCGAGGUGCAAUUUUCUAUUCACCCACAAAAAGUCUUUUUGAUAUUUUUACAACUUUAUCAAUUACUCGAACGAAAUUUAGUUAUGGAAAAGAACUGGGACUUUUGAAGAUGCAUUACAUUGUGUUGAAGAUGCAGGAGGUUCGAAACCAUGCAUUAUUGGUAGACUAGGUAGAGUUCCACUCAAAUUAUUUCUUACCUUGCUAAAUUCUCUGUGACAACAUCUGAGAAAUAAUCUCCAUGGUUGGCCUGGAUUGUGGAUUGGCAUUUAAACAUGCAGUUGCGAGCUUUAUGAUAGCUACCACUUCCCCUUCGUCUUGGGGUGUGAGAGGUGGGAGUCGCGGGUCCAACAUGUCUUUCAACACUAUGUUCUUCUCUGGGGAAACUGAUAUAGACAAGAUUUGAUCUCCAGGAUGUCUUCCUUUGAUAACUUCCAGUGCUAUCACUCCAAAGCUAUAGACAUCGGUUUUUUCUGUGACCUUCAUUGUAUAAGCAUGCUCUGCAAAAUUAGAAGAUAAAUAUUACAUCGUGAGCAUGUUAGAUUUCUUUGUUAGUUGAGGAGUGAAGUGUACCUGGUGCAACGUAUCCGACUGUGCCUGCAAGUUUGCUCUGAUUUGAUGAGUCUACCUUAAGAAGCUUGGCAGUGCCCAAGUUAGAAAUAUGAGCCUCAUAUUGAGAAUCCAGCAGAAUAUUGUUGCUCGAUAUAUCCCGAUGAACAAUCGGGGGUGAGCAAUCAUGGUGCAUGUAAGACAAAGCGUGAGCCACUCCUUUGAUGAUCUUGACCCUUGUAGCCCAACCCAAUUUUUUAGCUUCUUCUCUGCUCAAGAUUGUAGCCAAGCUACCUCUUUCAAGGUACUCAUAGACCAAAAAGGAGUGUCGUGGAUAUGAACAGAAACCAAGAAGUCUCACAAUGUUUCGAUGCUUGAUCUCUGUCAUUGCCCUUACUUUAUUCAAGAAAUCCUUUUGAUUUGCCAUAUCCAUGUCGGAUGGGUGAAGCUUCUUCACAGCUACUAUAUUACCUGAUGGCAGCUCUGCUUUGUAAACGCUUCCAUGCCCUCCCUUUCCGAUGCAAUACAUGGGAUCAAAGUCCUUGGUGGCCUUUAUAAUCUCUUCAUACAUUGCUCUUCCAUCAAAAGUUGAUAUUGAGAGGAGAUUAUUCUGUACAUCACCUUCUUCGAUUUCUGGAGUUCUCUCUCUUCUUUCAGCAAUCAAGAAAAUCCCAAUGAAAGCAGAAAGAAGUACAAGUGCUCCCAAAAGAGGGAAUAUGAUAAUAAACACAACUUUGUGGCUCUUUUUGACAGGUUGUUGGUCUACUCCAAAACCAUAUUUGCAAGGUUGCAACCCUUUAACAUUGCCGCACAAAUCUUUGUUCCCCUUUAGCACCUCAAUGGUAGCAUUUCGAAAUGCAUUGCUGUGAGGAAUGGGACCCUGCAACUGAUUGUAGGAAAUGUCAACAUACGACAAGGCAGGCAUGUCCUCAAAAGCCUUUGGGAUGAAACCACAAAGGUUGUUAUGGGAGAGAUCAAGCAUCUCCAAACUCUCCAAACCUUGGAUCUGUGCCGGGAUGCCACCUGUAAGCAAGUUGUGACUCAGAUCUAGCUGGGAGAGGUGACUCAGCUUACCCAUCUGAACCGGAAUUCCGUGGCUGAGUUUGUUAUUGCUCAGGUUCAAGUAAUGCAAGUCCAAGCAGUCGCCCAAGUGCUCUGGUAUUGACCCAUUCAAUCUAUUGGCUGAAAGGUCUAGAUACUCAAGGUGGGACAGCGAUCCAAGUUCAGGAGGAAUACUCCCGGAAAGUUGGUUGUCAUUCAAUAUCAGCCCCAACAGAGAAGUCAAACUUCCCAUUUUCUUUGGAAUUUCCCCAACCAAAUGAUUUGAAGAAAGAUCAAGCAAGAUUAGAUUAGUUGAGAUUCCAAAAUCUUCUGGUAUGCUCCCUGUAAUAUUGUUCCCGGCAAUCUCCAGCCUUUGUAGUUGUGGGCAUCUUCCCCAGUUAUGAGAGAGUUCACCAUGAAACCUGUUGUAGCUCAAAUCGAUGAAUUCCAGGUUUGGACAGUCACCAACUACCUCAGAUACAUUUCCAGUGAGUCGGUUUCCCUGGAACAGAGCUCUGGUUAAGUUUCUGCAAUUUUUCAAGCUUUUGGGGAUGGGACCACUGAGAUGGUUGUCACUCACUGUAAAGCGCUCCAGAGAUCCACCUUGGCAAAUGCCUUCCGGUAAAGAGCCAAACAGCUGGUUUGUGUCGAUUUCUAGCACAACCAACUUAUGAAGUUUCCCAAUUUCUUGAGGAAAGUAACCAGAAAGACGGUUAUCACGGAGGAAUAAAAUUUCUAAGUUGGUUAGAUUACCCAGUGAAGUAGGAAUGGAACCAUUGAGUUGAUUUUCUGAAAGUUCUAGAUCAACAAGAGACUUCAAGUUACCUAUUUCUUGAGGAAUGGGACCGGAAAGUUGAUUGGCAUAGAGAUGCAGGAGGGUUAGGCCACUCAGAUCACAUAAUGACACAGGGAUUGGGCCUGAAAGAUUGUUUCCGUAGAGGCUUAGACCUUGCAGGGAUUUCAAAUUUCCUAUUUCUGGUGGGAUAGGCCCAGAGAGGCUAUUGUUGAACAAGUACAACACGGUUAAAUGUUUCAAAUUUCCAAAAGUGGAAGGGAUGGGACCUGUGAGAUUGUUGGUAUCCGAGUAUAGCUGAACAAGGUUGGUGAGAUUUCCCAUUUCUGGAGGAAUGGAACCCGAAAGUUGAUUUUCAUAGAGAUACAAAGAGGCCAAGUUGCUCAAAUUACCCAAAGAAGCAGGAAUAGAACCCUCCAGUUGGUUGGUGUACAAAGCAAGCUCAUAAAGAGACGUCAACUGACCUAUUUCAUGAGGAAUUGAACCAUUCAACUGAUUUUGAACCAGGUGUAAGACCUCAAGAUUAGUUAAUAGGCCGAUCUCGGGCGGAAUCCCUCCUGAGAACUGGUUGAUAGAGAGAUCAAGGUAUUUGAGCUUGGAGAGGAGACCGAUUUGGGGUGGGAUAGGACCAGAGAGGUUGUUCAUGCUGAUAUCAACAUACGCAAGAUUGGGAAAAGAUGAGAAUGAGAAGGCUUGGAGCGUACCUCCUAAACCCGACUCUGUGAGGUUUAUUCUGAUGACGCUCCCUGCAUGGUUGCAGGAUAUUCCGUACCAUUUGCAUGGACUGACUUCUGUUCCAAGGUGGGUAGAAGAAUUGGUGAAGUUGUUAGGAUAAAGAGUCCACGAAAGGAGGGAAGAAUGGUUAUGGUUGUGAAGGGUAGCUUUCCAUUUGAGGAGAGCUUGUGUUUCUUCAUUAGAAUAAGAAGAAACAUGGUCUGAAGAAAUCAACAUAACCAAGAGGAGCAAGGAAACAAGGGAGAGCAUUUUCUGUAAGGUUGAGGGUGCCAUGGUUUUGGUUGAUGAAUUGCAUAUGCUGCUUCACAACUUCAUUUAUACACAUUUGGUUCCUUUGUUCGUCCCACUCGGAAACUUCCUUGUUCACACUUCACACCAAUUAAAAUUCAGCCCUUUAAUGUCAAGAUUGAGGUCUUUUAAAGCAUGGCUCCCUUUUUCUUUCUUUUUGCCUGGGGUUCCCUUUCUACUAGCAUGGUGGUCUUCCUAUAUCUUUGUGGUCGUCGAAGUCUUCUCCGGUCUCUUUCAAAAUGAAUAAUGACGAUGAAGGUUGGUUGGAGACUAACGCUCUCUUUGACAAUUAUUUUGGACAACAGAGCAGGUUUAGUAAUAAAAAAAUUAUUUUUUAUUUUUUAUUCUUAAACACAGAAAAUGAUAUGUUUUUUAGGGACUUUUUUUUUAAUUAUCAUCAAUUAUUUUGAUUUGUUUUUUAAAAAUUAUUUUAAAAAAUAACUAUAAAAAAUGGAGAAUAAUUAAAAAAAAUGGACAAAAAUUUUAUUUUUAAAAAUAUUUAAAAACAUUAAAUAUGUGAUAAAAAUAUUUAAGAUUUCUAAAUACAUUUUUAUUUUACCAUUCAUCAAAGAACUGCCGUUAAAAACUGUUAUAAAAAAAUAGUUGUUAAAGAUAACUUAAUUUUAUUUGAAUCUUUGUUUUUAUCUUUACGAUGAUCUUCUUCUUUUACUCUUUGUAAAAGAAAACCGAACUUGAAAAUUUGUUUCAGUUAAGUAAUUAUAAAAGAAAAUUUUAGUCUACUUAAUAACUAAGUUGAUUUAUUAAAACUUAAUAAUUAAUAUUUACCCUAGGCUUGGUUUUUAGAAAAUUUUAAAUGAAUUGAAUAUGAAAAAAAAAUGAAGUUUUAAAAAGAAAAAAACAAAAUUUAAGUUAAUAAAUUAUUUUUAUAUGUUUUUAAAUUUUAUUUGAAUGAUUUAUUUUUAUAUAAAGAAUAAAUAAUUUAAAAAUGCUUAAAUUUUUAAAUGAUUUUAAUUAUAUUUAAUUUAUUUAUUUUUAUGUAUUUUACAUUUUAAUAUUUAUUAUAAUAUGAAAUAUCAUAUGUUUAUUAUUAUUUGAAAUUGCUUUACAAUUUAUAAUUUAAUAGGAAAUUUUAAUUUAUUUAUUGAUAGUAUUCAUAAUUAAACUAUUUAAAACUUAUAAAUAAAAAAUAGUAUAUUAUAUAAUUAAAACAAUUUGUAUAGAUUAAAAUACUGUAGUAAUGAUAUAUAUUAGUAUUUUACUGUGUAUUUUAUACUUAUUUUUCAGUUAAUUUAAUUUUAAUUUUAAUUUUUAAUUUUUAAUUUUAAUUAAAACAAUUUAACUUUAAUUUUUUAAUUAUUAUUUUUUUAACUUUUAAGUAAUAUAAAAAAAAUUAAAGAAAAAUAAAAGGAAAUGGAUAAGAAAAGUAAAUCCGUGAUUCGGCCCAUUCCAGUCCACAGUUACCGCCGACGACACCGACGUCAGUCAACCGGCAACCGCGACGCCGCCUCAGCAGCGCAGUCACUGCCGCCAUCUCCGGAAACUCCACAGCACCACUCCUUUCCACCCAGAUGCCACGCGCCGUCGCUCACGGCAUCUCCGCCCGUGGCCUUGCCAUUCAAGGCGCCGCUCCGUCGCCGACUCCUUCCACACCCACCCCAUUCACUAACGCCAAGACCACCAUGGUCUCGGCCACUGCCUCUGGUAGCCAACAUGGCUGCCAUCUUCAUCCUCCAUCUCACCUCUCCGCCGUACCCCACUACCAAUCUCCUUCGGCCUCCAUGAUCCCCAUCUCCGCCGCUGAACCCAUCACCCUACCGGCGCCAACAUCUUUUCUUCUUUAUUUAUUUAUUUAUUUAUUCCAGUGCUGCUCAUAUAUUUUGAUAUGUAAAUAUUUAAUUUGUUAAUUAGAAAAUACAUGAGUAGCAGUCUUGGUAGAUGAAUGGAUGAAUUUUCUGCAUGAGUAGCAGAGAUUUAUCUACUUCUAUUCACACAAAACCACACUUUAUUUCUUUGGGCACAAAGCCACAAUUUCUAUGAGUACAAAUCACACCGGGUACUUGAUGUAGAAAGAAAGACUAAACAAACUCAAAAGGCAUUACAUAGUGCUGAAGAUGCAGGAGGUUCGAAACCAUGUGUUACGGUAGACUAGGUAGAGUUCCCCACAAACUAAAUCUUACCUUACUACUUUCUCUGUGAUAACAUCUGAGAAACAGUCUGCAUGGUUGGCCUGGAUUGCGGGUUGGCUUUUAAGCAUUCAAUUGCUUGCUUUAGGAUAGCUAUCACUUCCCCCUCAUCCUGGGGUGUGAGAGGUGGGAGUCGGGGGUCCAACAUGUCUUCCAACGCUAUGUUAUCCUUCUCUGGGGAAACUGAUAGAGACAAGAUCUGAUCUCCAGGAUGUCUUCCUUUGAUAACUUCCAGUGCUAUUACUCCAAAGCUAAAGACAUCAGUUUUUUCGGUCACCUUCAUUGUAUAAGCAAGCUCUGCAAAAUUAAAAGAUAAAUAUUAUAUCGUGGACAUGUUUCAUACCUUGUUUAAUUCAAGAGUGAACCGUACCUGGUGCAAGAUAUCCGAAUGUGCCUGCAAGUAUGCUCUGAUUCGAUGAGUCUAGCUUUAGAAGCUUGGCAGUGCCGAAGUCAGAAAUAUGAGCUUCAUACUGAGAAUCCAGCAGAAUAUUGUUGCUUGAUACAUCCCGAUGAACAAUAGGGGGUGAGCAAUCAUGGUGCAUGUAAGCCAAAGCAUGAGCCACUCCUUUAAUGAUAUUGACCCUUGUAGCCCAACCCAAUUUCUUAGCUUCUUCUCUGCUCAAGAUUGUAGCCAGGCUACCUCUUUCAAGGUACUCGUAGACCAAAAACUUGUGUCGUGGAUGUGAACAGAAACCAAGAAGUUUCACUAUGUUUCGAUGCUUGAUUUCUGUUAGUGCCCUUAUUUCAUUUAAGAAAUCCUUUUGAUUUGCCAUCUCUGUGUCGGAUGGGUGAAGCUUCUUCACAGCUACUAUAUUACUUGAUGGCAGCUCUGCUUUGUAAACACUUCCAUGGCCUCCCUUUCCUAUGCAAUACAUGGGAUCAAAAUCCUUGGUGGCCUUUAUAAUCUCUUCAUACAUUGUUCUUCCAUCAAAAUUUGAUAUUGAAAAGAGAUCAUUCUGUACGUCACCUUCUUCGAUUUCUGGAGUUCUCUCUCUUCUUUCAGCAAUCAAGAAAAUCCCAAUGAAAGCAAAAAGAAGUACAAGUGCUCCCAAAAGAGGGAAUAUGAUAAUAAACACAACUUUGUGGCUCUUUUUGACAGGUUGUUGGUCUACUCCAAAACCAUAUUUGCAAGGUUGCAACCCUUUAACAUUGCCGCACAAAUCUUUGUUCCCCUUUAGCACCUCAAUGGUAGCAUUUCGAAAUGCAUUGCUGUGAGGAAUGGGACCCUGCAACUGAUUGUAGGAUAUGUCAACAUACGACAAGGCAGGCAUGUCCUCAAAAGCCUUUGGGAUGAAACCACAAAGGUUGUUAUGGGAGAGAUCAAGCAUCUCCAAGCUUUGCAAACCUUGGAUCUGUGGCGGGAUGCCACCUGCAAGCAAGUUGUGACUCAGAUCUAGCUGGGAGAGGUGACUCAGCUUACCCAUCUGAACCGGAAUUCCGUGGCUGAGUUUGUUAUUGCUCAGGUUCAAGUAAUGCAAGUCCAAGCAGUCGCCCAAGUGCUCUGGUAUUGACCCAUUCAAUCUAUUGGCUGAAAGGUCUAGAUACUCAAGGUGGGACAGCGAUCCAAGUUCAGGAGGAAUACUCCCGGAAAGUUGGUUGUCAUUCAAUAUGAGCCCCAACAGAGAAGUUAAACUUCCCAUUUUCUUUGGAAUUUCCCCAACCAAAUGAUUUGAAGAAAGAUCAAGCAAGGUUAGAUUAGUUGAGAUUCCAAAAUCUUCUGGUAUGCUCCCUGUAAUAUUGUUCCCGGCAAUCUCCAGCCUUUGUAGUUGUGGGCAUCUUCCCCAGUUAUGAGAGAGUUCACCAUGAAACCUGUUGUAGCUCAAAUCGAUGAAUUCCAGGUUUGGACAGUCACCAACUACCUCAGAUAUAUUUCCAGUGAGUCGGUUUCCCUGGAACAGAGCUCUGGUUAAGUUUCUGCAAUUUUUCAAGCUUUUGGGGAUGGGACCACUGAGAUGGUUGUCACUCACUGCAAAGCGCACCAGAGAUCCAGCUUGGCAAAUGCCUUCCGGUAAAGAGCCAAACAGCUGGUUUGUGUCGAUUUCUAGCACAACCAACUUAUGAAGUUUCCCAAUUUCUUGAGGAAUGUAACCAGAAAGUUGAUUAUCACGGAGGAAUAAAAUUUCUAAAUUGGUUAGAUUACCCAGUGAAGUAGGAAUGGAACCAUUGAGUUGAUUUUCAGAAAGUUCUAGAUCAACAAGAGACUUCAAGUUUCCUAUUUCUUGAGGAAUGGGACCGGAAAGUUGAUUGGCAUAGAGAUGCAGGAGGGUUAGGCCACUCAGAUCACAUAAUGACACAGGGAUUGGACCAGAAAGAUUGUUUUCGUAGAGGCUUAGCUCUUGCAGGGAUUUCAAAUUUCCUAUUUCUGGUGGGAUAG